GAAAGAAGAAGGUGGAUGAGCCUGUUGAGGCUGUUAACAUUGAUGAGAUGGACAUGGUCCUUCGAGAUGAAGAUGAGACUGAAGAAGUGGAGGUUCUGACUCCCAAAGCCAAGAAAGCCAAGACUUCCACUAAGAAAUAUGUUUCAGAGUCAAAGUCUGUUGAACCAUCCACCUUGGAAAAAAGAACAAGGUCUGAUGUGAAGUCAAAACAAGUGAAAAAUGUUGAAGAAAAGGAAUGGAGUGGAGAGGAGGAAGAUGAUUCUGACACUGAGAAAGACAAGAUGGCCAAGUUUGCCGAGAGGACAAUUUUGAAGGGUAGGCUGCUCAAGGACUUGGAGGAGCAAGGAAUGGUAUUGCUUUUGGAGAAGUUGGAAUUGCAAGGCUGGAAGGACAUGGUCCUUCAGAUUGAUGGCAAGUUGGCUAGGAAUGAAAUUGUUGAGUUUAUGGCAAAUGGUGAGGUGAAAGAUGGAAGGGUUACAAGUAUAGUGAAAUGAGUGAAAGUCUCCGUCGAUGUGAAGGAGUUGGGAGAAAUUCUGGGUGUACCUGCUGAGGGGUACAAUGACUAUACAAAGCUUAGGUGGCCAAGCCUAGAAAAUCUUCCUACUGCCUUUGUCAUUACCAGAAAAUUCAGUGACAAUGAGGAGGAAGUUGAGCCCAAGGCUGUGUACAAGAGUGAGAUGAAGCCACCCACAAAGUGUUAUUCAAAUUUGUCAACAAAUGUGUUCUGCCAAGGCAGGAAAGGAGGUACAUUGCAAACUUCAUGGACUUGGUCCUCAUGGAGUGUUUGGAUAGUGGGAGGCAUAUUAAUUGGCCUGGAUUUAUAAUCCAGUUUCUUGAUAGGGCUCUAAAUGGCACCAAGACUCGUGGCAUUCCCUAUGGCUUCAUUCUCACAGAUGUGCUUGCACAUUUCAAGGUACCUAUGAAGAAGUGGGAGGUUGGUACAAGCAAUGAUCAUUUUGGGGCAAAUACUAUAAUUUCUUGUGACCAUGAAGUCCAUGCCACUCCUAAAGAACCUGGUUCAUCCAAGAAGGUACCAAUGAAUAGCAAGAUGCGAGCCUUGGUGCAAGAAAGUGGGGCUAAGAAUUGAGAAGCUGAAGAAGAGGUUGGCAGAGGUGGAGACUGAGAGAGAUGCUCUCAGAACUGAGCUGGCAAGAGAAAAUGAGGAGAAUGAUGGCAUUCUUCACGAUAUACUAAAACUCCUCCAAGCCAAAAAUCAAGCACCUAGUUCUUCCUAUCCUUAAGCCUCCUAGCCUAGUGUAGAUCAAUCAGUGACCCAGUUCGGGAUUUUUUGUUUCUUUUGCUCAUGCUUCCAGUGUUUUUUAUUUCUUCUUAUGCUUUGUGGUAGGAGCUUAUCAAUCAUCAAAGAAAUUCACUGUCUUUUGCUCUAAAUAUUUAUUUAUAUUUCUUUGAUGGUUAAAAGUCUUAACUUGAUCUAUGAUGAUUAACCCAUGAUUGCAUUUGAAGUAGCCCCAGUGGCCAUGAGUAAAUUUUAAAAUCUGGUUAUCUUACUUAUUUAUGCAACUUUUCGAUGAUGCCGGGGGAGGAGGGGGGGAAGGUUGUGCUUUACACUUUGAACAGUGAUGUUUAUAACCUAAUGUACCUGGUCCUUGAUGAUAAGUGAUUAAAAGGAAAAAUGUUUCUAACAUUGUGUUGAUGUUGAGCUAAGUUGAAACAGGGCCUAAGCUUAUAAAAAAGCACAGAGUUUGUCAUCAUCAAAAAGGGGAAAUUUGUUGGCCCAAGUGAAGGUUAGUUUUAAAGAUUGACAAAGAAAACUCAGGCAUGAACCGAGUCCAUCCCUUGUGUGCAUAGACAUUGGCAGAUUCGAGCUUGUGGGAUGCACGUGAAGGAGAUAAGCUUAACUUGGUAUAACUGAUAUCUUCUAAUCGAAAAGGUUGCAUAAUUGAUAAGCAGAAGGACUUCUUAAUCAAAGAGAACACUAUCCAAGAUAACGGAAGAGUUAGAAGUUGAGAUAAACUAGAACUCUUCCAACAAGGAAGAGUAGCAUUAGAACUCUAGUUAUUUCUUCAUCUACUAACUCUAUACAUUGCAGGAUGUUCUCAUUCUACAGGUAUGCACAAAAGCAUAAGUUAAACGUGAAUUGAGAGCAAAAUAGGAAGGCAUUUUGCAAGCAAUUCGUGUGUGAUUCAAGUGUGUAAAUCUAAAGCUAUAUGAACCAAAUAGAUAACCAGUUCCAAGUGUCUGUCUUUUAUUCUAGUUCAAUUGUAAAGGUGUUUUCAUAUUGUACAUUUUAGCUUUAUCUAUAGGCAAUUGUAAUAGGUACUUAGAGUAUUUAAGUUAGAGUUAACUUGAAGUUGUCGCAGCUGUUAGAGGUUGGUUGUAACAGCGGGGUUAAAGUUAAUCCUAGGGUUACAAAAGUAUUUUGUAAAUGCAGUUUUUAGCUCAGUGAUUUAGUGGAGAGUUUGAAAAAAUCAUACUGAGAAGUAGGUCGUGGUUUUUUCACCUUUUGAGCUAGGUGUUUUUCACGUAAAAUAAUUGUGUUCUUUACUUUUCGUAUUUACUAUUUCAGCAAUAGUAGGUUAAGGAACACUUAGAAGAACCAGGUUCUUAGAUAAUCCAGUGCACGCGAAAAAUUUGACACCACACAAAUCACCUCCCCCCUCUUGUGUGGUAUUGAAGUUAAAACAUCAAACUUUAAACUUUUCAUUUUGUUCAUUUUAUCCUUAAUAAGAAGCUUUUAUAGCCACACAAAUUUCAUUGCUACACAAAACUUUAUACCUUAAGCUUUGCUCUUGAAACUGAAGGAGUAACUAGUAUGGAGGUACAUGCGGGCCCAUACAAGGGUAAAGAGAUCGUGGGAGACCUUGGACAUAACUAGGAUACAAGUUGGAACUGUUUGGAGCAGAUGGAAUUAAGCCAAAAUUAUCAAGAGAAAAGAUGAAGCAAGAAAAGUGGCUACAGGUAUGCGCGUUGCGAGGCGUGCAUCGCGCUACCUCGUGCAAGACAACCUUGGCAGCCACCUGGGGAGGCAGAAAAUAUGAAGAUGCACGCGACCUUGCGCGCUAGGAGCGAGCUGCCUCGUAAGAGAAGGGAAACUUCUCUCUCUUCACCAAGUUGCAAUUUUCUUGAGAUAAACCAUACCCUGCUGAAAAGAAUAUGGAUACACUGUUGAAAACACCAAUUAAGCUUGAGUUUCUGCAUCCACUUCAUGGUUUUGCCGUUAAAGUUAGUGCCUUUGGCUCUGUGAUUGGUGCUGGAUCUAACUUUUCGUAUGUGACGCCAUAUUUUGUUUUGGAUUUCGGGGUGGAGCUCGAACAAUUAUUAGAACCUUUUUUCGUGGCUGUCCCUGUUGGUGUUCCUGUUAUUGCUUCUAGAGUCUAUAGGAAUUGUGUGGUUGUAGUCAAAGGUCGAGAGACUAUCACAGACUUAAUAAACUAAAAAAGGUAGACUUCAGUAUGAUCAUGGGAAUAGAUUGGCUUUUCGCGUGUUAUGCGAUCGUGGAUUACCUACACAAAAUGGUCAGAUUUGAAUUUUCGGGUGAACCUGUGAUAGAGUGGAACAGAGAUAAGCCUAGAGGUAGAUUUAUAUAUCAUAUCUUAAGGCUCACAAGAUGAUGCCGAAUGAGCGUAUACCACUUAGUUGCGGUUAACGACACUGAAGUCAAAGUGCCGAAAUUCGAGUUAUUGCCUGUAGCCAAUGAAUUUCCAGAUGUGUUUUCCUAAGAACCUCUCGGCAUUCCACCUGACAAGGUCAUCGAUUUCAGGAUUGAUAUCUUGCCCGAUAUUCAACUUAUCUAUCCAACCUUAUUUUAUGGCUCCAGCUGAAUUGCGAGAAUUGAAGGAUCAUUGAAGGACUUGUUGGAUAUAGGGUUUAUUGGACUAAGUACGUCACCUUGGGGUUCUCUAGUCCAGUUUGUCAAAAAGAAUGAUUGGUCUUUUAGGAUGUGUAGUUAUCGUCAGCUUAAUCAGGUAACCAUCAAGAACUAAUAUCAUUUGCUUAGGAUUGGUGAUUUGUUUGACCAACUUCGAGGGGCUAAAUUCUUUUCAAAAAUUGACCUGAUGUAAAGAUAUCAUCGGUUGAAGAUAAAAGAGCAAGAUAUACCGAAGAUAGCUUUUCACACCCCUUAUGGCCGUUUUGAAUUUUUGGUGAUUUCCUUUGGUUUGACUAACGCACCAGAUGCAUUUAUGGACUUAAUCAAUCGUGUUUUCAAGCUUUUCCUCUAUUGUUUUAUUAUUAUCUUUAUUGAUAAUAUUCUAGUGUAUUUGAAGAGUCAUGAACACCACGUGAAUCACUUGAGAAUCUCCUUACAGACACUAGGGGAGAAUGAGCUUUAUGCAAAAUUCUCCAAGUAUGAGUCUGGCUUAACUCUGUGACGUUCUUGAGUCAUGUGGUGCGCUACACCCCAUUUUAAACUAUUUUAUAAAAAAAAAAUUCACUAGGUGGUACGCCUAGGGCUAUUUUUUAUAUAUAUAGAAAAAAACAAAAAACAUAGUACCAUGAGGUCUUACAAAAUAAAAGGUAAUAAACUUUAUAGAAUACAUAAUACCUAUUACCAAUUUGGAUCAAGUGAUGCUCAAAAUUAGUAGCACAUUUUAUCCUAUGAAUGAAUGCAAAUGACCUACUAAAGUAGUAACAAAGUUGAAUAAAAACUAGCCAUGAAAGGCCACUGUACUUGCGAGUUCAUAUAAUCCAACGAGUGAAACUCCUCAUUAAGGUACGAGACUUCUCCACUGCCCAGAUUUGUGUAUAACUGGGCAGUAUAUUCAAGUCCAAUUCCCAUUUUGUUUGAGUGAAGCAUUUGUGCAAUAAUUUCAUUCCUCUAGUACCAAUCAGCGUAGCAGUAUCAUACACUAAUUCCAUUGUCCAGCAAAAAUCACGAACGAACACACAUUGUUGGUACCAUAUUACGGGUGGCCUCCAGAUGUAAACUGUUGAAUUUGUUGCAUAGAGCCAAUUGUGAGGUCGUGUAUUGCUGAGGUACAUUAGGUUGUCAAUCCUCAAUGCAUCCAGUAAACUCAUUAGACCUCUCAAAAACAUGUACAAGAAGUGAUGACCAUGGCCAAAAAACCGGACUAUAAUCCACACUUGCGUUCCAGUGAUCCUAACCCAAGAGUGGACGCACAAUUGUCCCAUGGUGAAUACAAUAUCCAAGAAGAAAAGGUUCAGCUCUUGCCUUAUGUAUAAGUCCCAAAUGACACAGCCAGACUCUAGCAACAACGCUGUAAUCCUUGCUUUGAUUUUUGAUUCCAUGCUUGUGCUUGCUCUCAAUACUCCUUCAAGGAAAUGAGUACUAAGUACUAAUACCACCCAUUGAACUUGUAUCAAGAUGCAAGGCAUGAGUACAGUAACCUUUCCUGCAAAAAAGAACACAAUGUUAGUAGAACUCAAGUCCACCAUGCUCUCCUCCAUAAGAAUUUGAACAAGGUGGAAACAUGUGGCAACAGUCCAGUGCAUAAUUUGGGACAUUGUAGUUUAUCAUCUUUCAUAAUCUUUCUUCCUAUGGUAUCUAGUUGAGUGAAAGAAUUCCACUCAAUAGGACCACUGUCCAGUGCAUAAUUUGCUAGGUGAUCAGCCAAUUUGUUGCCUUCUCUAAAUAUGUGUUAUCCUAGCAUUGUACAUCUCCAUUAAUCUCCAUAUUUCCUCCACAUAUUCCACUAUUCCCCAUGGUGUACUCCAAGUCCCCUCAAUAACAUUUUUCAAUAACAAAGAGUCUGUUUGCAACCAUAUAUGAGAAAUAUGGUUAUGCUUACAAAAUCUGAGUGCUUCAAGUAUUGCCGAUGUCUCUGCUUUAGUGUUGGUUGUUUCAUUAAUAUCCUGCCCAUGUGCAUGUAUAACAUCCCCAUGAUCGUCCCUUAAGCAACAACCUAUUGCACUCCUACCCGGAUUUCCCCUAGCAGCACCAUCCGUGUUCACCUUUAUCCACCCUUCCAAAGGAAUUUCCCAUAAUACUUUAGUAACCUUCAGCCUUGGAGUACACUGCUCGAGCAUUUGCAAAAGGUCUGACCAUUUGUGAGGUACAUGUUUCAGGCCAGGCUUCCUAACCUUGAAAAAGGCUUGCAAAGUAGAAGAUACUUGAUAUAUCACUCUACUAACUGUAACUAUCUCCCCAUAUUUGCAAUUGUUUCUCCUUUUCCGUAGUUCCCAAACGAUGAUGGAUGACAGCACUUGAAAAAAAUUGGUUUGAAUUGAGGAAUUACAUGAGUUGUCCAGAAUUUGACCACUGCCUGAUAUAAAUUUAAUCCCUCUAAUGACAAUCCAGUAUGAGAGAAGUAUGACCAUGUUCUAGUGGCAGCGUACGAUCUAAAGAAGACAUGAGCCAUGGAUUCAUCUUGUGGAUUGGCAUAACACCAACAUCUAUAAGUAACAACGUAACCCAUUCUCCUUAUCACAUCAUCAAGUGACAACUUAGCUCUCCACAACUUCCACAUAAAGAAUGAUAUUUUGAAAAGUAAUCCUUUAAUCCACAUAUUGUUGUAAGCAUUGUUAGGAUCCCUUCUCCUCCGUAAAUAUUCGCAUGCCGACUUUACAAUAAAAUCACCCUUUGUAUCGAACAUCCACACCUAUUUAUCAAGCAUAUCAUUUUCCAUUGGAGGUGUUAUAUUAUUAAUAAUGUGCUCAGCAAACUCCUCUGGUAGUAGAGUUCUCAAUCUAUUAUCAUCCCACAUUCCUUCAUUGAUCAUAUCCCUCACAUUGUUUACUGUUUCAUCAAUUGGGAAAUUUAGAGGAAUAUUGAAAUAGAGUUCUCCUAACCCUGUCCAAUUAUUAUACUAAAAAAGAGAAGAUCCUAUUUUUGGUUUCCAUACAAUUUGAUGUUCUAUCAAGUCCCUACAUUGAAGCACCUUUCUCCAAGCAUGUGAUUCACGCUUCCAAGGUACAUUGGCGGCAUUUAAAUUUUACAGUACUUUUGACUCAUGAAAGCACUCUACAAAAUAGGGUUGGUCCUAAAGUUCCUCCAAAGCUUACAGAACAAAGCUUUAGAUAUAUCGUGUAAAGACCUAAAUCGUACUCCUCCCUUUUCAACAGGUAGGCAUAUAUUUUUCCAUGAAGCCCAAUGUCUACUCUUUCCUAUUGCUCCAAAAGAAUUGAGCAAAUAUCUUAUGUAGUUUAUCAAUCACAUAUAAAUGAGGAUUAACAACUAAGAGAAGGUGAAUUGGCAUACUUUGCAAUACAUGGGUUAUCAAAACAGCCCUACCUCUUAUGGACAAUAGUUUACCCUGUCAGCCUUGUAGCCUACCAAUUACUUUAUUGAUUAAACCUUGGUAGUAAUCCAUUUCUCUCCUUGUAUAGAAAAUAGACAACCUAACUAUGUGAAAGGAAAAUAUUUGUUACCAUUCCUAGUUAUUCUUUUCACCUUUGUAAUUACCUCCACACUUGUUGAGUGAUGCAUAUACACUGCUAACUUUUCUUUAUUGAUCAGUUGCCCCGAUGCCAUCUCAUUAGUAUUCAACAUCUCCAUGAUGAGUUGUAAGGAAGUGGCAUCUGAAGAAGAAGAAGAAGAAGAAGAAGAAGAAGAGAUUAUUGUAUCAUCUGCAUACGCUAAGUGAUUGAUUUUUGGACUCCAUUUUGGCAAUCCAAAUCCACAGAAACAUAGAUUCAGAUGCAGUGAGUUUAAGCCUCUCGAUAAGGCUUCUGCUGCAAAUAUGAAAAGUGUCUGUUACAAUGGAUCUCCCUAUUUCACCCCUCUUGUGAAUUUUAAAAAUCAUAAGGCUGCCCAUUAAGAAGGACAAAAUACCAAUUGUUAGAAUUUAUACCAAACACCACCCCAAUAAACCUCUCACAGAAUCCCGUUUUCCUCAGAACGUUUGUCAAGAAAAUAUAUGAAAGCCUAUCAUAAGCUUUAGUCAUGUCUAACUUGAUCACAAUAUUAGAACCUGCACUUGUCCUUAGUCUAAUGUCAUAGAUGAUCUCCUGCGUUAACAACACAUUUUGUACAAUACUCAUCCCAUUCACAAACCCCGCUUGUUCAUUAGAGAUUAGAUUAUGAAGAAGGUCCACCAACAUUUCAUGUAUUACUUUCGAGAACACCUUCUUGAUGAAAUUGCUUAGGUUUAUUGUCCUCAUAUCACCAAAUGUAUUAACCUCCUUUUUUGGCAAAAGUUCUAGAUUUGUACGAGUGAUAAAUCUAGGUAGCUCUUGGCUAUUAAAUAAGGCUUUCACCAUGUCAACUACAUCAUCUCUAAUAAUUUCCUAGCAAGAUUGAAAGAAGCAUCUAUUGAAACCAUUUGGGCCUCCAGCACUCUCCCCAUUCAGCCCAAAAACUGCAUGUUUGACAUUUGUUUUUGGUUGAUUGACCAGGUGUAGGUUCUGUCCCUUCUCCACCAUACUUGGAACAUGCUCGAGGAUACUAAAAUCAGUAGGAGGUGAAUCUUCUUUGAAUUGAGCUUGGAAGAAAUUAACAACUUAUUCUGCCAUGGCCUCUCUAUCUUCAAUCCAAUGCCCCAUAUUGUUUAUAUUCUCUUCACUUGUAGUUUCUUCCUUCUACCAUUGACUUGAGCAUGAAAACAUUUCGUAUUUAUGUCCCCAUCUUCAAACUAGUUCAUCUGUGCCUUUUGUUUCCAAAACUAUUCCUCUAAGUGCAAAUAUCUAAUGAACUCAGCUUGAACUUUCAAUAAUCUUUCCCUUUUGUGUUGUGUAGGCUGAAGCUCGAAUUGUGUUUCAUGAACAAUAACUAGUUCCUCGAAGUUGGCCACCUUCUGAAAUAUGUUCCCAAACGUUGCCUUACUCCAUGUAGAUAGUGCCUUAUUCAACUUUUUCAGUUUGUAGUUAAACAAUAUAAAUGGAUUCCCGGUAAAAUAUGCACUCCAAAUUUCCUUUACUACAUUUAUGAAGGAUUCAUGUUUCAACCAAAACUUCAAGAAUUUGAAUGACUUCUUUAUAAGAGGAGCAUUGAGGUCGUACGAUAAUAACUUAGAGAAGUGAUCUGAUCCAGCUUUUGAUAGGUGUGAAACUUUCAAGCCAAGCAUCAUUUGUUGCAAUUCAAAGUUAUCCAAACAUCUAUCCAAACGCUUGAAGAAACAAGCAUCAUCUGAUUAUCCAUUCCACCACGUAAAUAUGUUGCCUUUAAAGCCUAAAUCCACCAAAUUGCAAGUGUUUAUGCGAUGUCGAAAAUCUUCCACUUUAUUCAACGAUACUGGCAAGCCUCCAAAAUUCUCCUCCUCAUCAACUAUGACAUUAACAUCACCACCAACUAACCAUGGAACACUCAUGUUAGAGGCUAAAGCAUACAUGGAGUCCCAUAAUUGAAUUCUCUCUAUGGCAUCACAUUUGGCAUAAACAAGAGUAGCUAUCAUUUUCUUCUGUGAUUCAAGAUUGAUUAAUCUUAGUGUUAAUUUUGCUCCAUAUCCAUUAAAACAUCAACAACUUAAGCUUCAUCAAUGCCCACACUUUAUUAGAGACAUUAACAAAAGCAUGUUGCAAACCUAGAUGCCUUCUAUAGGUUUCCAGUUUAUCGGCAUUUUGCAUCGGUUCCAUUAAUCCAAUUAGAUAAAAUUCAUAUUGUCUAUCCAUUGUAACAAGCCUUUCAAAGGCUUUUUUUGUAUUAAUUGAUCUAAUAUUCCAUAUAAUAGCAUUCAAAACUAAUUUAUGAAUUUAGAUACAGUCCUUCUUAUUUGAACCCCAACACUUUGCACAUUGGGUCCUGCUUUUUGUUGCUACUUUCUCCCUAUGCCCACAGAUUUUACCUUCUCAAUUUGUCUAGAAGAAAUAUCACCUUGUCUAGCUGCAUUCAUAAAGUUUUUGAUUGUAUAUUCUUCAUCAAGAUCCUUGCCACCCCUUUCCUCAUUAUCGUCUGGAAUAUCAUCCCCGUUUUUCUUUACCAGCUGGUUCUUGCUUCCUUUAGGUAGAGUGAUUUUGUUAGCACUGUCUGUUGCCAUUGAGGGCGCUGCCACAAUCUGUUUCCUUUCUUUCACCUUGGUCUGCUCAACAAUCUUUAAUGGAGGGUUAGGUUUUACUGUAGAUGAAGUAGGGUUAGGUAUGGCUAGGUUUAGGUGUUACUUGAUUCUUCUUUGUCUUCGUGUUUGAGGCAGCGUCUACCUCAGUUGGAGUUAUUUUCACUCCAGUAUCCAUAUCGGUUUGUGGCCUCUCAUCUAUUUUAGAGUUUCCUUCAAUCAGCUAAUCAUCUUGCUCUUCAUCACUACAAGUUUUGGCCUCUUCGUUAGGAUCCACUAGUUAUGUGUCAUCAUGUUCAUUACUGUCGUCUUCAUCUAAAAAUAAUUUCACCUUCCUCUUCGAAACCUUCUUCUACAUGGUCGCUUUAAAGUCUGCCCAACUUAGUAUUCCAGUAUCUAUAGUUUGCAAUGGUAUUUCUUGACAGGAUUGACUUGGUGUGACAUACGCUAAUUCCAUUCCCUUUUGCUCAUUGUUAAUUUUUGCUGCCUGAACUCCAUUGCCUUAUGUUGUCCUACUCCCAUAAUAAUUAGGAGUGAGUACAUGGAAGGUUGUGUUAACUUCACGUGUAUCUAAUUUACCAACAAAAGUUCUUUGCACCCAUUGUGAUGUAUACUCUUUUUUUAUAGGCUCCUCACUCCUUUUCUUAUUAGGGCUCAAUAUUUUUGCUCUGUUCGCAGAUUCUAUCCCACUUGAGUUAGUAGAAACUCCUCUCUCGAUUAAGUCUCAACCUCACGAGAUGAACCAAUUUAAGCACGUGAAGAUAUGCAAGAAUGCAUAGUGGAUUGGUCUUUAGGAAAAUCACUUUCGAUUAUUCAACUAACUAGGUUUAAUCAAUAACUCAACUAGCCUCUUUCGAUUACUAAGAAGAAUUAAAGAACUCAACCAACAAUAUAAUGCAAAGAUAUCACAAGUUAUGCCUCUCUCGAUUAUAUGAACAAGUGAAUAUAGAUGCAACAGUUAAAUCAUCCAACAAUGCUUCAAUACACAAAACUAGAGUUGUAAUCUACAAACAAAUAUCAAUACACCAAAUCCAUCAAACCCUAAAGAGAACUACUCCAUAGAUAUGGAGCAAUUCAUCACAAAUAAAAUUAAAGUAGAGAAAAACAUAAUUUCAAUCCAAACUCGUGUCUUGAGUGAGAAAGGAAUGAUGAAAUCCUUGUGCUCGUGUUCUUACCACUCCUCCUUGGCCUCCUUAGGUCGAAUAUGUGUCAAAAGUUCAGAAAAUAAUAUUUUUCCAUGUAUUUAUACCAAGUAGGGUCGGGACCAGAAGAAACCACCUUCUCCUAGCCAAAAUAGGAUUUUCACUCUGUAUAAAUUGUACAAGCGAAGCCGCAUGGGGCGACGCGCCAUGCGGGACAUUAGUGGAGAAAUUCAGAGAUUUAUUUCUGACAAGAAACAUGAAUUUGCACAACCGCGGUGCCCGACCCUCCGCCCCACGCAUCGCGGCAGUGAGCUUUUCUUAGAGUACGAAAUUUUUCUUGUUUUUUGAUAUCCAGAUCUGGUCUUCUUCCCCCGAACACGAUCCCGUCUUAAUCCCUUGAGUUUUUACCCAGACUUAAAAGAUCCAAAUCACUCGAAUUAUCUCCAUAACAUCUACAUCACCCGGAAUCACUUCUACAAGACAUAAAACACACAAUAAGUACAAAACACUAUCAAUUAAAGCUCAAAAUAAGUAAAGUACAGUGAAUUAGAGUGCAAUAAGAGACUACAAUUUGAGAUUAUAGCCUACCAUCACUUGUCCUGCAAUCAUCAUGUCAUCCACAUAUAACAACAAGAUGAUAAAGAUAUUGUUAGAGAAUUUCUUAUAGUAUACACAUGGAUCUGAAAGAGUCUUUGUGUACGUUUGACCUCUCAUGAAUGAGUCAAACUUCUUGUACCAAUGCCUAGGCGCUUGUUUCAGCCAAUAAAGACUCCUUUUAAACUUGCACACCAUGUGUUUCUUCUCCUUUACUUCAAAACCUUAUGGCUGCUCCACAUAGAUCUCUUCUUCCAAAUAUCCAUGCAGAAAUGCAGUUUUCACAUCCAACUUCUCCACUUCAAGAUCUAGGCUGGCUACCAAGCUCAGGAUUGUUCGAAUAGAAGUUACUUUGACAACAGGUGAGAAACUUUCAUCAAAAUCAAUACCUUUCUUCUGUUCGAAACCUUUUACCACCAAUCGAGCUUUGUGUCUGACCAGCUUGUCGUUUCUAUCUUUCUUGUGCUUAAAGACCCACUUGCACUUGAGCGGUCUUUUGCCUUUUAGAAGUUCAACCAGUUCGUACGUAUCAUUCUUCUAUAGAGAAUUCAUCUCUUCUUUCAUGGCUUUCAUCCAGUAGAUUUGUUCCGGAUCAAAUAGCACCUCCUUGAAAUUCUGUGGCUCUCCCUCAUCAGUGAUGAGGAUAUACUCCGAACAAAGAUACUUUGUGGACUCUACCUUCUCUCUUUCAGAUCUUCUCAAAGGUUGUUGUCCUUCUUCUUCUUCUUGUUGUUGCUCUCCUUCCUCCUCUUGUGGACUAGGGUGCUCCCCCUACUCAGCAACCUCUCCAUCUAUGCCUUCCGUGUGCCAUUCUUCACCUGUGGAAGGAUUACAUACAGGUAUAGUAGGAGUAGUAACAAAGUUAGUAAUUGUACCAUUAUCAUUUUUGGUCUUUGUUGAUUGAUCACUAUCAAUCCCGACCACAUCUUCUCUUAAGAUCACAUCUCUGCUUCUGAUGAUCUUUUUCCUUUUUGGGUCUCACAAUUUGUAGACGAACUCUUCGUCUCCAUAACCGAUGAAGAUGCAUGGAAUAGCUUUGUCAUCCAGGUGAAGAAUGGCAAAAGAUUUUCUCUGCUCCUUCGGCACAUGUGCAAAAGAUUUAUAUCCAAACACUUUCAGAUGGGAGUAGGAAACCUCUUUGUUGGUCCAGACUUUCUCUGGAAUAUCAAACUCCAAUGGAACUGAUGGACUUCUGUUAAUCAAGUAACAAGUUGUGCGAGCUGCUUCACCCCAAAAUAACUUAGGUAGUUUUGCCAUUUUUAGCAUACUUCUUACUUUUUCGACAAUGGUGCGAUUCAUCCUUUCAGCUAUACCAUUAUAUUGUGGGGUUCCAGGAACUGUCUUCUCAUGUCUGAUUCAAUGGCUUGAGCAAUAGUCUUCAAACUCCUUUGAAGUAUACUCUCCUCUAUUGUCUGUCCCGAGACGCUUUAAUUUUUGACAUGUCUCCCUUUGCACUAGAGCAUGGAAUUUCUGAAAUACUUAAAAUACCUGGUCUUUGAUUCUCAAGAAAUAAACCCAUAAUUUUAAUGAAAAAUAAUCAAUAAAUGUGAAAAAAUAUUUGUUACCUCUCAUUGAUUUUACAUUCAUUAGACCACAAACAUCAGAAUACACUAAAUCAAGUAUAUUCGAUUUUCUUCCAUGAGAACGAUACCCUGUGUUGUUUUCCAAAUAAACAAUAAUCACAAGAAUUUAAAGUUGUACCUUUUUCAAAUGAGAUGAGUGACUUUUUAGAUAGGAUCUACAGUCCCUUCUCACUAAUAUGGCCUAACCUCCGGUGCCAUAAAUCUACAGGUGUAUCAUCUACAGUCACAUGUAAUCCAUCUUCACAUAUCUCAGUGGUUGUCGUGUACAUUGUGUAGGGAGCAACUCAUUUAGCAAUUACCAAUGAUCUCUUGGGGGGGUUUUCACUUCCUAUUGGCAAAGUGAUUAUCGUACCUGUCUCGAUCUAGAGUGAUCCUUGAAAUCAAAUUCAUUCGCAGAUCUGUUACAUGCCACACAUCUUUUCAAACUAAUGUGCAUCUGACGUUUGUCUUGAUACAAAUAUCGCCAAUCCCCACAAUCUUUGAGUGACUGGUAUUUCCCAUCUUGACCAUUCUAAAGUCUCAUGCUUUGUACCUACAGAAGAAUUCUCUUACCGGUGUGGCAUGGUAGGAUGUUGCUGUGUCAACCACCCAUUCUGACUCUUGUCUUGCUAAGUGCGUGCAUUCCUCCUCCUCGUGAAUGAAAAGAACCACCAAAUCACUGUUAUGCACUGCAUCAGUUGUGUUGUCAUCAUUCUUCUGGCCACUGCUCUCGCCUCGACCUUUCUUUGGGCAAUCCCUUGGUAAGUCUCCACUUUCUAUUGGCAAAGUGAUUCUCGUACCCGUUUCGAUCUAGAGUGAACCCUGAAAUCAAAUUCAUUCGCAGAUCUGGUACGUGCCGCACAUCUUUUAAAUCUAGUGUGCAUAUGACGUUUGUCUUGAUACAAAUGUCGUCAAUCCCCACAAUCUUUGAGUGACUGGUAUUUCCCAUCUUGAACAUUCCAAAGUCUCCUGCUUUGUACCUAUAGAAGAAUUCUCUUAUCAGCGUGGCAUGGUAGGAUGCUGCUAUAUCAACCACCCAUCCGGACUCUUGUCUUGUUAAGUGCAUGCAUUCCUCCUCCUCAUAAACGAAAAGAACCACUGAACCAUCGAUGUGCACUGCAUUAUUUGUGUUGUCAUCAUUCUUCUGUCCACUUCUCUCGUCUCGACCUUUCUUUGGGCAAUCUCUUUUGAAGUGACUGGGUUGACCGCAACUUCUACCCUUUGACUGGUUUCUAGACUUUCCACGAUCUUUGGAUUUAUCACGGCUACUCGAUGCUCUAUAAAAAUUUCUUCCUUUGUUUUUCAUGAUAAGAGCUUGCCCCAGAUUUUUGGGAUUCUUCCUCGUCUUAUCAUUGAGUAGGAUGGCUGAUGUGACCUCCUUUAAAUCGAUGGUAUCUCUACCAUGCAGGAUGGUUGUUUCCAAAUUAUCAUAGGAAGAUGGCAACGAGUUUAGAAGCAUGAUAGCCUUAUCUACUUCAGUGAUUGUUUCUCUAAGGUUUGCCAGCUGCAUGAUUAAUCCAUUGAACAUAUUUAAAUAGGACAAGAAAUUUGUACCUUCACUCAUAUGGAUGGCAUAAAGUUGCUUUAUCAAAAAUAACUUGUUUGUUAAGGAUUUGGACAUGUAUAGACUUUCUAGUCUUUUUCAAAUACCACAUGCACUAUUUUCAUCCCCGACUUUAUUGAGUACUUCAUCUGCCCAUUCCUCGGCUUUCGUGGUUUUCGACUUUGCCUCUUUUCCAUCUAAUGCAAUGUCUAACCCUUGUUGGAUGAGCAGGUCCUUCAUCCUUCUUUUCCAUGUGGAGAAACUGUCAUUACCGUUGAAUCUUGUUACUUCAUACUUUACUCCUGACAUUUUCUUUUGUCAUAGAGUAAAAUUGACUAUAAAUAAUAUUUCUGUGAAGAGCAGAACCUGUGCUCUGAUACAAGUUAUUGGGAAUAAACUCCAAAAAUAAUAUUCACGGUAAUAAAAGCAGAAUAAUAACGUAGCACUGAGAUACGGUAAUUAACAAGAAUAAAAUAGAGACAACGACACCAAGAGUUUUACAUAGAAAACCCUUUUGAAUAAGGGAAAACCCGCAACCCCAAAAUGAGCAACUGAUAUCACUAUAGCAAGGAAAUUUACACUUUGUAGGUCCGAGUAAAAUACUCCAAAUACCACUACAAUAAUCAAAAGAAAUAACCCUAUUUUGAUAUUCUCACCUCACUAUAAUAUCGCUCACUCUCUCUAUUUUUCUCACAGACUAUUUUCUUAUACCCUGUCUGUGAAGCCUCACUCUUUCUUUCUCUCUUUUUUUUUGGUGUGUAGUAAUGAGAGCCGAAGCUCUCCUUUUAUAGUCGAAGCCUCAUUCUCUGAAGCCUACUAUAUUUGAUAAUUUGCACACAUUUUUUCUUUUUUUCUUCAAUGUUAACAAUUCAACAAAGUUGGCUGCCAAACCAAAAAAAUUCUUAGCCAAGUAUUUUCCUUAGGCACAUGUCUGUUACUUUGGCUUUUGAAUGAGAUGGACCUAUCAGUAGAGAAGCGAUAUUUUAAGUCAUGGAAAACUAUUUUAUAAUCACAAAAUAACAAGUAUUCAUUCACGUCAAGAAACCAGAAAGAGUAUAACUUGUUUUGUUAUUUUAGCUACUGGUUUGUGAGAGCACUUCUAAAAAAGGUUUCAUAGUAAAGUUCGAUGACCUCACAAGGCUUAAAUAUUAAGAUGAUCACAAAUUUAGAACUAUUCAAUAAAUCCUAUAGGCAUACUCUCCAAAUUAAAAGAUAAGUACAUACAUGAUUCAUAGAGCACAAAUUUCAUAUAAGACAGCUAGCUUUAGCGGAUUUGGACUUCAUCUCAACUAAUAGAGGUAAACCAAAUCAUGCAAUAAAGUUAAAGUCCUAAAGCAUGAAUACCAGUAAGAGAGGCCACCACUUAAAAUUAGUCCCAACAUAUUUCAGUCAUGGAAAGAGAGAAACGUUUAUGGACAUGGUUCGUCAAGCCAGUCUCGGACGAAAUAACAGAACAUUAGCAUCAAAGUUUAAAUCAUACAAGGCCAGUGAUAUAACAUGCACACUUAAUGGACAUUCUGCUAAACAUUUGUUAUACUAACACUCAACUAAAAUAGUAAUCCUUCUUAUAGAACAUGGUAUCUAAAACAUGGGAGAAGUAAAAUUGAAAGUUUACAAACGGGCAUUUCAUUGAACAUUUUGUUAGUCAUGUUUCUAUCAAUAUACAACAAGAAUACCAUAUUCCUAAAAUCAUGAACUCUAGACAAAGCAGUAGAUCCAAAUUAUGAUUUCUAACUAUACGAAACAAACUAUGUCAUAUUGUUUAUCCUUAAAACGGAUAACAAUUAAAUUUGUACGUGGUUUUAAGGAUAUAUGGAUUGAUUUAACAUAAAUAAUCAAGAAUAUUAGAUAAACGAGUUAAAGACAAAAUGAAUAAUCAAACCAAUUAUAAUGUUAUGGCCCAACCCAAAUCUAGGUUGAACAAUAGUUUCUCCCUCGAUCGGACCCUUGGUUCGAUCCCAAAUCAGAUGAAGAACAAACGAUUAUGUAAGAACUUUUGCAAUAGCUAGAAAGCAGAAAAUGAGUUUGUAUUACCUUGGUUUGCAUGUUACAAUGUGUCAAUCAAAAGAAAAAAUCUCCCCUUUAUAUAGUAGGAGAAUCUCAUCCCUAGUACAAGUCUAAAAAGGAAAAAUCUUCCUUUUCUGUUAAUUACUGAUCCAUAAUCGACAUCAAGUGAGAUUCACAUCGUGAUAUCCUGUCAUGUACGAAUAUCACGCCCCUUUAUCCGUCGUGUGCAACCGUUUACCGUAUUUUCCGAGGUUUUAGAAUUUGUUCUAGGUCCGGGGAGCAUUGCUUUAUCAUGCUCGGUGAUGAACACAUCGCUCUUUUUUUAUGGGUCUCGAUAUGAAAGGUUUCCGGCCUUGAUUUCAGUCUCGUGCGUCCGUGCCCUUCUUCCAUUUUCUUCACCGAGAAAUCGGAGUAUGCUUUAUCCCCGAUUUUACCCUAUACAGAUAGUCCCCUCAUUUUUCGGAGAGUAGGUUUACCGAAACGACAGGAAAUGAUAAAUGAACCCCAGCUUCUUCCCUCAUACGUUAUAACUGGGAUGACGGGUAAAUCGAAAUGUCUAAUCAGUCGUGUCGUUCUGACUUCGGACACGUGUCAAUCAUCGGCUGACUGUCUUCGAAUGCGAAACGUCGCGCAUUGAUUGCCUUCUCCCCUAUAAAAGCUUCAACCCUCUUCACUUCUUCCACUUUCCGAUUCUAGACUUCACCCUUCGAAUAUUCUACCAGCUUUUAAUCUUUCCAGAUCUUCAUACAUUGUUCUUUGAGACUUCAUAUCUUCAUACUUCUUCUUUGAACCUUCAUCCCAGACCUUCAUACCUUCAUACCAUCUUCAUAUUUUUCUUCAGACCUAUAUUUUCCAAAUUAUAAUGGCUAAAACUUUCAAGUCAGUGCUUCAACAAGCUGCCCCUUCAUCUUCUCACCUGGCCGCAUAUGCCGAGGUGGCCAUUCCUGAAGUGGCUCAGGAGCCCCCCAUGAAGAGCUUCAUACCCGGGGGAAGCUCUAUCGGGGAUGACUUCAAGGUCGAGAAGGCCUCUAGUCAACAAGACCGAGGCGAGGGAGCAUGGAGAUACAUAUGCUCUGUCACUGAAGAAACCCUACCCGUAGUCCGGGCAGACUGUAAGUGGCAAGGUAAGGGCGUGAUUAUCCCCGUGCCCAAUGAUGAUAUUACUACUUAUGUAAAGGGGUAUCUGAGUAUUUACACUUACCCCUUCACGCUCACCCCUGUGGACCUCAUAGUUCUUGCUUUCUGCAAGAGGUACGAGGUGUGCCUGGGCAAAUCCACCUAUCCUUCUGGAGGAUUGUGAUCUUCUUGCGCCAUUUUGUGAACAAUACUGAAUCUCCUCGUUCACCCUCGACCACCUACUCCGCCUGUACAGUCCCCGUAUCUUCUAAUGGGGACUAAUCAAUCUCGUUCACCUAGCAAGCAAGGCUUCUUUCUCGCAUUGAUGAGGACCGAGACCGAGGCUGACAGGGGAGGUUCGUUCGGGUGAAAAUCGAAGACCUGAUUCCCCUGAGUUUCUGCAGUUCCUCGAGGGGUGGAAUGCAUCCCAUAAGUAUUGUUUUUCUUUGGUAUUUCUUUCUUUUUAUUCUUUCUCUCAUCGCAUGUGUUUGUGGUCGUGCAGUUGUUGCCCAAAAUCUUGAUGCAAUCCCCCGAUUCAAGGAGUGGAUCGAGGGGAUUUGUAAGCAUAUGUCGUACUCCGAACGCGCAUGAUGCAAACUUUUGAAGAGCAAAUGGGAGGCCCGUUCUCAUGGUGAGGUUCUUCCAUGAAUAGUUACCAUCACACUCUUAACUUAUAUAGUGCUAACUUUUUUUUUUCAUACAGGUCUGCCUAAGACCACCGAACUUAGGCCACUGGAUGAGGACGAGGAUCCGUCCUUGCUUGUUGAGCACUCCAUUUCGGGAUCGCAUGGGGCUGCCGCGAAGGAGGAGAAGAAGAAUAAAAAGAGAAAGUCCUCGGGUUCCCUGGAUCCCGAGGCGAAGGGGAAGAAGAGGCCACCCGGGUCCUCGGGUUCGUUGCUCAUGGGUCGACCCCUAUUGGGGAGCAGGCGACGACCGUGAAAGAGGACCAUGAGUUCAAUCCCCCUCUGACUCGGGAACCUGAGAGGGAGAUAGAGGUUGCAAUUAAAGCUAGUGCCUUUGGCUCUGUGAUUGGUGUUGGAUCUAACUUUUCGUAUGUCACACCAUAUUUCGUUUUGGAUUUCGGGGUGGAGCUCAAACAAUUAUGGUGUUCUUGUUGUUGCUUCUAGAGUCUAUAGGAAUUGUGUGGUUGUAGUCAAAGGUCGAGAGACUACCACAUACUUAAUAAAAGUAAAAAUGUGAGACUUCAAUAUGAUCAAGGGAAUAGAUUGGCUUUUCACAUUUUAUGCGACUGUGGAUUACCGAUACAACAUGGAUUUCCAGGUGAACCUGUGAUAGAGUGGAAAUGAGAUAUUGCUAAUCCUAGAGGUUGAUUUAUAUAUCAUAUCUUAAGGCUCAUAAGAUGAUCUCGAAGGAGCGUAUACCAUUAGUUGCGGUUAACAACACUCAAAUCGAAGUGCCGAAAUUCAAGUUAGUGCAUGUAGCCAAUGAAUUUCCAUAUGUGUUCCCGAAGAAUUUCCCGGUAUUCCACCUAAUAGGGUCAUCGAUUUCAGAUUGAUGUCUUGCCCGAUACUCAACUUAUCUAUUCAACCUUAUCGUAUGGCUCAGCUGAAUUGCGAGAAUUGAAGAAUCAUUGAAGGACAUGUUGGAUAACGAGUUUAUUCAACUAAGUACUUCUCCAUGGGGUUCUCUAGUCCUGUUUGUCAAAAAGAAUGAUGGGUCUUUUAGGAUGUGUAGUUAUCGUCAACUUAAUCAGGUAACCAUCAAGAACAAAUAUUUUUGCCUAGAAUUUGUGAAUUGUUUGACCAACUUCGAGGGGUUAAAUUCUUUUCGAAAAUUGGCCUGAGGUAAGGGUAUCAUCGACUGAAGAUAAAAGAGCAAGAUAUACCGAAGAUAGCUUUUCGUACCCCUAAUGGCCAUUUUGAAUUUUUGGUAUGUCCUUUGGUUUGACUAAAGCACCAGCUGCAUUGAAUCGUGUUUUCAAGCUUUUCCUCGAUCGUUUUAUUAUUAUCUUUAUUGAUAAUAUUCUGGUGUAUUCGAAGAGUCAAGAAGACCACGUGAAUCACUUGAGAAUCGCCUUACAGAUACUGUGGGAGAAUAAGCUUUAUGCAAAAUUCUCCAAGUAUGAGUUCUGGCUUAACAACAUGACAUUCUUGAGUCAUGUGGUGUCGAGUAAUGGUAUCAAGGUUGAUCCUCAAAAUAUUGAAGCGGUUAAGGAUUUGCCAAGGACCACAAGUGCGACAUAAAUUCGUAGUUUCUUGGGAUUUCUAGGUUAUUAUCGGAAGUUUGUGGAAGGAUUCUCGACUAUAGCAGCAGCGCUCACGAAAUUGACUUCGAAAACUACUAAAUUUCAUGGUCUGAGGUGUGUGAAAAGAGCUUUCAAGAGCUAAAGGUGAGGAUGACUUUUGCUCCUAUUUUAACUCUACCUUCGAGGUCCGGUGGUUAUGUGAUUUAUUGUGAUGCUUCCAGAGUUGGAUUGGGAUGUGCGUUAAUGCAAAAUGAUAAGGUUAUUGCGUAUGCUUCACGUCAAUUGAAGAAGCAUGAGAAGAAUUAUCUGACUCCUAACUUGGAGUUAGUUGUCGUUAUUUUUGCCUUGAAGAUUUGGCGUCAUUAUUUGUAUGGUGAGCAUUGUGAUGUCUUCACUGAUCACAAGAGCUUGCAAUAUAUUUUCGAGUAACGGGAUAGGAGAUGGCUAGAAUUGUUGAAAGAUUACGACUUGAAUGUUUUACAUCAUCUUGGUUAGAAGAAUGUUGUUGCUGACGUUCUAAGUCGUAAGUCCAUGGGUACAUAUAUGUAAAAAUCAAUGCUAGUAUUAUUUUAAUACAUGGAUUUAAAGCACAUAAAACUAAAAUUCAUAAUAGUGAACAAACUUAUAUAAAGUAAACACUUUCUAACUUACACAUUGUAUGCUAAUUUGCAUUAUAUCAUGAAACUAAGCAUCCAAAAAAAAAUGUAACAAUUCCUACAUUAUUCAUCCCAGCAAUAUUACAGUCCAUUCAUCAUUAAUCCUUACAUAACUUAUCUCAGAACCAAACGAUCACCUAGUAUUGUAAAAUCAAUAUCGGAAUUUUUUAGAAGGAUGUAAAUUAUGUAAUGGAGAUGCAUAGAAGGCCUGGACCAUAGCAAGGAAAAGGAGGAAAGUAGCCGCAAUCAAAGUGAUUAGAGACCAGGGACUUGUAAAAUAAGCAUUUAGCAAUUCAGCAAACCAAGUUCUGACCCUGCUGUGAAAGUGCUCUUUGAUUUUAAAAUUGAUUUCAUCAAAGCUAGAUUGACCCCUUGUCCCAUAAGUGUUUACUGAUCUGAAAACUUGUACAACUUCUUCAUCACUUCCCAAAUAGUUUAUUAUAAUCUUCUUUUCUCUUAGCUCCUUCACAUCUUGUGGUGAUGUGAUAAGUGCUUUCAUAAAACUUAUAUAAGAUGUCACAGAAAUAUCUCCAUGAUUUACGCUAUUCGGACAAAUUUCAUAAGCUAUCAUAUUCUGCAGAGCUGUUUUAGUAACCGAUGAAACGUACCAAGGCGGAAGCCAGAGUUCUGCAUAGUAACAAUGAGAGUGAAACUUUGCACCACAAUUGAAAGAAUUCACACGGCUAGGCCUGAAAUGAAUGCCCUUUGAUUUAAGCUCGAUCACCGAACGAAACACACACCGUGGUGUUUUUGGUUUGUGAUGACCUUUUUUCCUUAUACAGCAAUAUCGACCAAAGCACCACGAAUUAAUAUGCGAAUUAGUAAUUUUUUUCAUGUUUUGUACCUUCUUUUUCCAUUGAUCACUAACUGAUCCACUGAGGCUGGAAGCAGGUGGUUGAUGAUGAUGAUGAUGACGACGUUGUUGCAUAAGAUAAUCAUCUUUAUUUUUGUCACCAAAGAUAAUUAGUUCUCUUCGGAAAACUUCAAAUAGGUGAGGGGGUUCUGUUUCCCAAUAUUCUUUGUAUAAUCGAUGAUCUCCGAAACAAAGAUAAGAACAAUAGUAUUGCACUAUAUUCUCAAAUUGAUGAUCAUAUGUUAAUGAUAUAUCAUCUUUAACAUAUCUCAAAUUAAACAAGAGUUUGAGAAUCCAAAACGGUACCUGAUUUUCAAGCAAAUAUAGGUCAUGUGCAGCAGCACAAUAACCUGCUACACCAAGAUGUUCUUUUGUGAAUGAAUAUUUCACUUCCCAUGACUUUGAAAACUCUGUUACUAUCUCGAUAUCCAUUAGAACGAUACACGCGUCAAGGAGCAUCAUUCGAGCAAAAUAAUCGUCGUUAUACUGACUCGUGAAUUCUUCGAGGUAACAACUUUUAGCACGCUCGAUUUCCUCGAAAAUUUUCUCGAGGAAGAAAUUGUAGUCUUUAUUACUGCCUUCAAUGAACAUUUGUAGAGCCUUGGGCUUGAAAUCUUCAACAAAUUUGAGCUCUUUUUUUCCAUGGUGGUAAGGCCCCAAUGACAUGACUUUAGGAUCAUAGUCAUCGCUCAUGUUCUUAAGUCUCAUGAAUGAUGGAACUUUUGGUAUUAUUCGUUGAUGCAUAUCUUCAUUAUCCUGUCUUGACAUUUUUCUUUGUACCUUCAUGAGUGAAUAGGAAAGUUAGUUAUAUACUCCCUCCCAAGCGCCGAGCCACAAUUUUCACUAAGAGGUGUCAUCUAAUAGUAUAUACAUAUAAAAAUAUUUUUUUUCUUAUCUAAACAUUGUUAUAUUUCGGUGAAGGGGUGUCUAUGUCGCCACUGCUCUCUCCAUUUCAAUUUAUGUUAUGCAGCUCGGAUUUCGAGAGUCAAACUUUCUAUUUUUGGCCGUGAAUUCGAACAUAGAAUAUUUAAGUUAUUUUAAAAUAAAAUUUAUAUAUUUAGAAACUACAUAAAAAGUACUAUAAUCAACAAUUCAGAAUAUUUAACGGGCAUAUGAAAAAUAGCGGUAAAAGAAAAACUCGUUUGAUACUCGAAAUUCAAAUUACAUCACAUUAAUUGAGACAAAGGGAGCACAUAUUACGCUAUGGUAGAAUUAGAUUAUAUAUUUUCAAUCUCAAGUUCAAUAUGUCUUUUACUAUUUUCCUUUAACAAUAAGAAAACAACCACGGGAAUAUAAACCCAAAAAAAAAAGACAUUUAGAAGCAUAUAUUAUAUUAUACUUUAUAUUACAUACCAGUAUACUAGUGCUUGUGUUGCUCUUGCUGGUGAGAUGUUUGACAAUAAUUUCAAGGAUGUAGCCAUUUUUAUAGGCUUAUAAUGAAAGAUGGAAUAUCAAAGCCUUGGUUUCAUAGUAAGGAAUAAAGAAAGGGUUUUUCUAGUUCUGUGAACCUUAAGCUGCUAAUGAGCAAAAGCUAUAGCAUUACUUUACCCACAAAUAGAAUAAAUUAAAGCUUCAUAUGGAACUUUUGUUUCUAAUCAUUAUAACUUGGACAAAUUGAAUUCUAUUAUAAUAUAGCUUCCAAAGUUUCACAAUUUCAAAAAUAAUCUAAUAUUUGACUUACAACUUGAAACUGAUCGAUCAUGAUUUGUUAUAUUAGUAAAAUAGUCUCAGGGUUCCUAAGACAACUUUUAGUAAUGUAGUUGGCAAGUGAUAAAAUAUAAAGAAGAAAAGAAAGAGAUGCUCUAUACUCAAUUAAGGAAUACUAGGCAAGAUCGCAUGCAACACAUGUUGGUGGUAUCAAUUUGCGUGUACCAUGCCAUAAUAAUUCUUUCUUUUUUUCGUUUUUGCUUUCCUAUAUGGUCAUUUGGGACCUAUUUUGUAAUUACAGCUAAAUGUCCGAGAAUGUAUCGGGUCCAUUACUCAGAUAAUCACUCAAUUAUUCGAAAUUAUCUGUCAAAGUUAUCUUUUUUUCAUUUGUAAUAACAAAGUCACUUAAUUAUACUUAUAGCAUUCAGAAGGUCACUCAACCAGAUUUAUUAAACUUUUAAUCGUCAAAUACCUAUUUUACCCUCUAAUUUUUCAACUUUUAUCUUUCUUUUUUUUUGCUUUUUUAAUAUUAUGAUUUUUUCUCUUUUUAAUCAACAUUAUGGACUUACCUAUAGAACAAAAAUAUUUUAUUUGAAAAAAAUUAAAUAUAAUGUCGAAAUAAUAAUAUAAUUGAGCAUAAUAUUCAAGAAUAUGUAAUGUAUAUUACAAAAAUACAUUUAUUUUAAAUAAUUAUUUUCUAUAAUACGUGCUGGAAUAUGUAUUUUAAAACAUUAAUUUUCUUUCAUUCUCAAUUGUGUAAAUAAAUUUUUGAAUUUUUUUGUUAAAAUCAAAAUUAUUAUUACGAACAAAUUAUUCUAAUUAACUUUCUACUAUACUCAAUAUUUUAUUAUUCCAAUGUUAUAUAUGCUUAAAUACUAUUUUAAUUUUUUUAAUUUAUAAUUAAAAUUUAUUUAUUCUAAGGUAAGUCCAUAAUAUAAAUUAAAAAAAUAAAAAAAAAAGUAUUAUAUUAAAAAGCUAAAAAAAAAAAAAAGAAAGAAGAUAAAAGUUGAUAAUUUAGUGGGUAAAAUAGGUAUUUGGCGAUCAAAAGUUUGAGAAAUCAAGUUGAGUAACCUUCUAAGUGCUAUAGGCAUAGUUAAGUGACUUUGCUGUUACAAACGAAAGAAACAUGAUUUUGGUAGAUAAUUUUGGAUAGUUGAGUGACCAUCUGAGUAAUAGACUUAGAAUGUAACCGAUAUAUCAAAAAGAAAAAACACACCAGAGGAUUUAAGAUUAAAUUUGAAGUUUAUUGGUUACGGCGACCUCUUGAUUGCCAUGGAACCUACAAGCCAUUUAUGAUGAAAAUAGUACGAGCUAGCUAGUUUUCAGACUGGUAAUUAAAAAAUAGUCCGCGUUUGUAAAGUCAUUAAAAAAUAGCCACUAUUUUCAACACAGAAAGUUCCAACAUAAUAUACUGAAGAUUGGUAAAUCUGUAUAUGCACUUUCAAUAUAUUAUGCUAGAACUCCAGCACACGGAAAGUUCCAGCAUAAUAUACUGGAGAUUGGAGCACAUGUGUAUGAACUUCCAGCAUAUUAUGCUAGACCAGUAUAUUAUGCUGGAACUCCAGCAUAUUAUCCUGGAACUCCAGUAUAUUAUACUGAAACUCCAGUAUAUUAUGCUGGAAUAUUUUUUGGAUUUUGAACAGUGUUUUCGUUCAGAUUUAUCUUUACAUGAAAAGUGGCUAAAUUUCGAUUACUUUUAAACGAUGGCUAUUUUUCAAUUACCACUUGUAAAUCUCGCUAUUUUUUAAUGUCACCCCAUUUAUUCUUGGAUAGGUCUUGGUCUUGGAUCUUCAAUACUAGUGUUCUAUAGAGUCUGAAUACUUGAUUUUUCCACUUUGAACGUGGCAUUCAAAAUAAUUAUAGUCUACUCCUUCCAAUUCAUAAUAAGUGACUUUUUAGUGGGGUUGUCAAUGGAUAUUUAAAAACCGACUAAACCGAUCGAAACGUAUCGAAAUGAACCGAUUUUUAGUUUUCUUUUAAUAAAACCGUAGAUUUUUAUAUAAAUCUAUAAUCGUACCGACAAUUAGGAUAUGUUUUUUUAUUUUAUGAAAAUAAACCGAAAAAAUAUCGAACUGUACCGAAUAAAUUUACAUGAAAAAUAUAUAUUUAUAUAUUAAGAUUAAAAAUAAUAAAAUAUUAAAUUUUUCUUUGGGCUCUUGAAAUUAUAAAACGGGACAAGCCAACAAUUAAUUAAACUCAAACUCCUAAUUCCCAAACUUAUUAUACUACUCCUAUUGAAACUAAAUUAUUUCCAGCAUAUUCACUAGCAAGACACAAGAUAAUCUAGCAAUUAUGACUAUCAAACUAUAAUGUAUUGAAUAUGUUUCCUUUCGUAUGAUUUAAAUUCAUAUUUUCAAAUAUUUAAUCUUCUAUAGACUUUAUUCUUGAGUCCAAGCUUGCUUAAUAUCUUUCCACCCGUGUGAUUUAUAUUUUAUUUAUCUUUGCUUAGUUUCUUUUACGUUGCUGUAGAAUAGUUGAUGGAUCUAUACUUUGGUCAUAUUUCAUGUUUUCUUAGUUCAUCACCCUUUAAAUAGUAAAAAUGUCUAGAGUAUGGCUGGCAUGUGUGCCGGGCCCGGGCCUAAAUGGGCUUCGUGGGCCGGUCCUAAGUGGGCCCGAUCCCAACUUAAACGGGCUUCGCAGGUCCGGGUUUCGCGGGCUUUUUGUAGGAACUGGCCCAGGAUCGGGCCCACGAACUAAUGGUCCCGGUCUAAGUGGGCUGGUCCCGGGCCUAAGUGGGCCGAACGGAUACUUUCUAUUUUUUUAAAAAAAAAUUUAGAAGUUAGAGAAAAAAAUAGUAAUAAAAAUAUCUAAGGCAAUUCCUUGUAAAUUAUAUUAUAGAAUUGUGAUCUAAAUUUUUUAAUUCAAAUUUAAAGACAAAAAUAUUAUAAGAGAUAUUCAAAGCAAUGCGUUAUAAUUUUAUUAUAGCAUUAAAAAAAUAUGGCAAUAUCUUUCUUAGUCUUCCUCUCCCUAUGGAAUGAGCACAAUAUGGUUCUAAUACCACCAUUAAGAAGAAAAAGAAACUAAUCAAGAUGUGCCAAAAUACAAGUUACAUAUUAAUUUUUGUUCAUACAAGUUACAUGGUAUCUCUUACAAAUUUCAUAAAUCCUUCAAGGUCCGGAGGAAUUUCCAUUGGUGGUGGCAGAAAAGAAACUUGGUCAUCACCGCUUCCGGGCGAAGCAGCAUCCUCCGCAAGUUCAGCUAGCAUUUCUUCGUAAGUUUUGUCUACGUCUGGUUGUGAUUCAGCAAGUCCAAAAUUUUUUCUUUCUGAACGGAUCCAAUCUCUGAAAAGUACUGAUUGUUUCAAGCUCUCCCUCAUAGACGCUCUAUAAUCACCGAGUUCAAGUCUUGCUUGACUGAAAGUGCUCUCCGAUGCCACUGUUGAAGCUUGAAUAGUUAAAAUGUCUCGGACCAUCUUUAAAAGAAUCAGAAAGUAUUUUUGUUUGUCCUUCCACCAUUCCAAAAUAUUAAAGGAGCCGUCGAGAUUCACUUCCUCAAUUCCCUGUGACAAAUAAAUUUCAAGCUCAUUUAGUUGUGAAAAAUCACUAGUACUAGAAACUUGAGAACCCCUGAACCCCGCCCAAGCACUAAGUGCUCUUACUCCCGCAGUUCUUUUAGAUGGUUGAGAAGUAGAAGAAGAAGGAGUUGGAACAUUUGUUCUAGCAUGAUCUAAUGCAACUUGAUAAGCAUUAUAAAUAGUUUGAACAUUUAUUUUAAUUGAGUCUAUUGCGUCUGAAAGUUUAGACAACUCCUCAUCUUCAAGUGCUAAACCAUUAUAAACAGUUUCAAACCAAAAUUGAGGACCUCCUAAUUUUAUGGUAGGAUUUAACAAGNNNNNNNNNNNNNNNNAUCUNUANUAACCGUGCUAGAAAUAAACUGCCUUGUGUGACGUAAAUUAAUUAUUCUAUAAGUAAUAAUGCGUUUUUGCGUUAUUCAAUCCCCAUCAAUCCAAUGACUGGUAACAGUAAGGUAAUCACAAUCAUUACCACUUCUACCAAUAUCAGCUGUAAUAGCAACAUGACAAUUUAUAUGAGUAAAUAAAUAGCGCAAAUAUUGUUCAUAUUCAUGUUUGUAUUUAUAAAUAUCGCUCUUUAUUGUUGUGCGAGGAAGUGGUCACCAUGCUUUUAUUUCCAGCAUGGAUGAUGACAAUUACUGAGGGUGGAUGGAACGGUUUGUCGUAGUUGCCUUCGGUGACAUUUUUUCAACAAUGGCCUCAUCCUUUCCGGUUGCUUGGAACCGUUCCCGUGAGUUUCUUUCAAUACGUUCUCCCCUCCUAAAUGCUUUUUUACGCUUGUAUUGAUCUUUCAACUUCUGUAUGUUAUAGCGACCCGAUGGGCCCCACUAGUGGUAGAAAACUUGGAUCGGUAGGUUCAAAAGAUCUUGGACAUCACCACACCCGAAAUUCGCUUGUGGAAAUAACUGUCUAUUAAAUAUAGGUGGAAGGCCAAAAAUCAUAGUAACUAUAAUUUGCUCUACUUCAGAUUUUGCAUACGUGGGUUUUGGUUGAAUCUCCUAACUUGUUUGUCAAAUUAGUUCUACACCCGGGCUCAGUCAAGAUCACCGAAGAGGAUGUUUUGGCCAACCCGGCUGAUGCGGUGAGGUUGCACCAGGAGGCGCUUGCUCGAACGGGUGCUUUCGGGUUUACUCCCGGCAUAUAUAUUUCUUCAUGGAGUCCCCGUCUAGAGAACAAGCAACCAAAAGGAAGGUGCUCUUCUGCGUCCGGGGAUAAGAAUAAGAGGGCAAAGGUUGAUGCCCCCGAAUCAUCCCAGGUGGUGACGUUGGUCGAUCCUCCCUCCGGGCCGGUCAUAGACACCGUAGUGAUAGAUGAUGAAGAAGCUAGUGAUAAGGGAGUUUCUCUUCAUAGAAGACAAUGAUACUUAUCAUCACAACAGGAUGCUCAACCUGUUGAUACAGUCACACCGGCCGAGGAUGAUGUUUGAGUAGUUAGGGAGAGUUUGAUUUGGUGGAAAAUGCCAACUCCCGUUCUUGGGCCCCAAUUGUUGCAUCUGGUACUGCGAGGCAGAGUACCGGGUCCUUGCCGUCCUCGGUCGGUGAGCACCCAACUAUCAGUGCUAUCUUUGGUGUAGCUGCUUCCCGUUCUUCUUCUUCACUAGCUUUAUCACCACCUUCUUCUCCACCAAUAGCUGCUACAUCAUUUCCAUCUCCAUCCACGUUUCUACCGACAACAUCAUCUUCAUCAGUCGCACCUGACCGUGCUUAAGGCGUUUCUCUUCUGCAGUCCCAUAUUCAUGGGAAUUUGGGACAAAAUUAUGCUGCCAUUUCUGAAGAUCCUCAGAGGAGGAGGAGUGUUACCCUUUCGGUCUCUACCGGGUGCAACCUUCUUUCCCAGCCGGUGGAGCUUGCAAAUUAUCUGAAGCCCUUGGCCUCAUAGAAAGAUUGGGAAAAUAAUCAGACACUCUCGGGAGAGUGUUUGUUGAACAAUGCCAUGCAUAAUGCCACAACGGUAUGUUUCUAUCUUUCUCUUACUAUUUCUCAACCUCUGAAUGAGUGCAUUUUAAAUUUUACCUCUUCUUAUCUUGCAGGCCAAUUUUCUUGCUUUCGAGGGCCUACAUCGGUUAAUCCGUGAGAAGGACGAGCUUUCUUAUGACCAGGAUCGACUUUUGGCUGAACGAGACUAAACCGUUCUUGGCUUCUCGGAACUGGAAAUCCUGGCCACUGAGGUUGUGGCUUUGGAAGCCCGCUUGCAGCAAAGUGAGCAGGAAGUAGAGAUCCUUAUCCACGAAAUUGGGCCGCUGAGGACUAGUUUUGAUUAAGUAAAAGCUAAGUGGGCUAAGGUCCAGGAUGCCAUUCUUGUUGCCAAUGACUGUGACGCUGCUGCUGCUGAAAGGAUAAUUGAUUUAGGAGCAGCCAUGAAUUUUAAGGCCGAAGAAUUUGCUGCCGCGGGAGAGAUUCACACCCGAUUGGAGGAGAAGUAUAAGAAAACUAUCGAGCACAACAAGCUCUAUAGUUCAACUGUCUGUGACCUCGAUGUCAGUCUGCUAGGUCCGCCCGGGACAAUCUUUCUGCCGAGAUCACUCAGCUCAAAGAAGAACUCAGGCACCGAGAGGCUUCCCUCAUUGUUGAAUAAACUUAUGCCAGGUACAAGUACAACAUGAGGAGAAAAACCUUAGAGGCAGCCAAUGCUGGCAUUAUUGAUAUUGAUGUCAAAAUUGCUAAGGCACGCGAGCUUGAGUUGGCUGUAAAGAAUGGACUCCCGGCGCGAUCUAACGCUCCUGGUUCCUCUGAUUCUGGUUCUGAUAUUUCUGAUACUGAAGAGGAAUCAGAAUGCGAUGAUAUCAAAGACCCAGUUAGAGAAGAUGCAGAGCCAUCGGUGGUACCACCUACUGCUCUUGGGGAUAUGGAUACCUCUCUUCCUCCUGAUUCUAGUGAUGUUGUAGCUUAGCUUUUGCUUUCCUUAUUUUGUACUUCUUUUGGCACAUUUUUGUAAAUGAGUACAUAUGUUUGCUCAAAUGUUUGAUUGAGUCUUUCUUUUUCGUGAAUGUCUGUGCAUAAUUUCCAAUUUUUCUACAUGUGGGCGCAUUUUCUUCGAUGUAUUUUUGUUGUCGAGAAUUAUCCCUUUUACAUGAGGGUUUCAAUAAGUAUUUGCGCAAGUUUGGUUUCUGCGUCUUUUUCAUAUGUGGCUUCGGGUGUAUUUUUUCCCAAUAGCAUUUUCGGUUCUGGGCAUAUAUUCUUCCGGAACAAACCCUUUAACAGGGGGGUUAUGAUAAAAGAGGGACCUCUUAUGUUUACGGUGCUCUUGAAGAGGACGUCUCAUGUUUAUUACGGCACUAACAUUUGAAGUACUUGUUUUACUUUCAAAUGACAAAAUUAGCUCAUCGUGUAGACAAGAAACAAGAUAAAAGGAAAAGGAUUUCAUUUCAUUCCUUCCGUUUUCAUAGUUUACAUAGGCAUUAUUCUACGUAGAAAAGAAGCUGCCAUGACUUGUGGCUAUCUUGUUUCUUUGGGGCUUGCUGUGCAGUCCCCAGUCCCGAUGAUGUGUGGCAUUCAAUGUUGCCUUACCGGGUUUUCAUUCUCGGUUGAUGUGGUAUUCAGUGUUGCCUUACCGGAUUUUCGUUCCCGGUUGACGUGGCAUUCAGUGUUGCCUUUCCGGAUUUUUGUUCCCGGUUGACGUGGAAUUCGGAGUUGCCUUGUAAUUGUAUCAUUAUCCCCUAGUGUUCUAAUGCUAAGAAUGUGAGUUAGAACACUGGAAGUCAUGUAUAUUCGAAAGUUCCAUCGAUAAAUUGCUACGUAACCCUUAGCUCAGUAACAUAUUUUACUUUCCCCUUAGGAAUUCAUGUUGUCGAGCGAAAGAAUACCUGAUAAUCCCUAGUGGUUUGUGCUCUUGAACGAUCGUGUAACCCUUGUUCGGUAGCAAACUUAACUUCCCGGUGGGAAUUUUCUACCGAAGCAAGGAUUACCUUAUCGUCCUCGAGUGGAGACAUGUUUGUUUUGCCUUGUCAUCAAAGAUCGUAUUAGUGUUGUUGUUGUAGUAUGUUUCUUGGCAUUGCCUUGUUAUAGAAAACACUUGUCUGAAAAAACCCAAUUAGGAUAAAAAGCAGAACGAAGGAUAAAAGAGUGCAACACAUACUUUCCAUCUUACUGUAGUUUGACUGUUAUUUGUCAGCACUAAUAUUCUUUUAGAUGAUACACGUUCCAGUUGUUGGGCUACUUAUCUUUGUUGUGGUUUUCCAAAUCGUAUGACCCUUUACCAGUGACAGCUGAAACCCGGUAGGGCUUUCCCAUGUAGAGGUUAACUUGCCGGCAUUGAGUUUUUAGGUGUUUUGAGUCACCUUCCUCAAGAUCAAGUCUCCUACUUUUUGGCAUCUUAUUCCAUACGGGGCCAGUAAUAUCCUGCUCGAACUAUCUUCUGUACCAGAGAAUCUGCGCCCAAGUGGUUGUCACAUAUCCCUUCAUGGACUUCUCUCAUGAAAUAAUUGGCUUCUGAUGCACCUAAGCACCGGGCCAACGGUCCUUGAAAGUACUUUUUGUACAAUUGGCCUUUCUUGAAGCUAUAGCGUGCGUAUUUGGCGCACAACGCUCUCGAUGAUUUGGAGUCUUCGAGAAACUUUCCAUGCUCGAGGUAAUUAAUUAUAUCGUUUCUCCAGUCCCAGACCAGACUAGUCGAAUUUACCUCGUAAUAACCAUCCGUGUCCAAGUAUGAGUUCAUCAGUUGUACAACCGUACCUGAUUCCGGUCCUUGGAUUUCUGUUGAUGAGCCCAUAUUUUCUAAUGCAUCAACAUCCGCAUUUUCUUCCCUCGGGAUGUGGGAUAUUGACCACUCCUGGAAUCUUGUCAGUAAAGCCUGAACUCUUACUACGUAUUGUUGCAUACGCUCUUCUUUGGUGUCAAAAUUUCCAUAGACCUGAGUUACCACCAAUUGUGAAUCACAUUUCACUUUGAUGGCUUCAGAAUCAAGUCCCCGGGCUAAUUCAACCCCUGCAAUCAAAGCUUCAUACUCUACCUUAUUGUUAGUUAGAGGCAUCAUUCUGAUGACUUGCCUUAAGGUUUCCCCCGAAGGAGUGAUCAAGACUAUUCUGAUUCCGGACCCUUUCACGUUUGAAGCUCCAUCCGUGAAUAAGGUCCAGACUCCCGGUGCCUGCUCUAACACCAUUGUUGCCUCUUUGGCAGCAAGAGGCAAUAGUCAAGGGCUGAAAUCGGCCACGAAGUCAGCCAGAACUUGUGAUAUAAUCGAUGUCCUCAGUUUAUACUCUAUGUCAAACUCGCUCAUUUGAACGGCCCAUUUGGCCAAUCUGCCAGAGAGUUCGGGUUUAUGGAGUAUAUUCCUCAAAGGAAAAGCAGUCACCACCGUUAUCGGGUAGAAUAGGAAGUAGGGCCUUAGCUUCUGGGAGGCUACCACAAGGGCUAAGGCCACCUUUUCCAGAUGUGAGUAGCGUGUUUCUGCUCUCGUUAAAAUUUUUCUAACAUAAUAUGUGGGGAAUUUUGUACCUUUUUCCUCUCGGACUAAAACUACGCUUACCGCAACUUUUGAAACCGUCAGGUAGACCAGCAAUGAUUCUCCUUCUUUAAGUUUCGAGAGCAACGGAGGGCUUGACAAGUAUUUCUUCAAUCCCUUCAAGGCUUGCCGACAUUCUGGCAUAUACUCGAAGUUGGUUUUCAUUUUGAGAAGUGCAAAGAAGAGAUGACACUUCUCCGAUGAUCGGGAGAUGAACCUACUCAAAGCCGCUAUUCUGCUUGUGAGUCUCUAUACUUCCUUUACGUUGAAUAGUUGAUCUGGGAUGUCUUUUAUGGCCUUUAUUUUGUCGGGAUUCACCUUAAUUCCUCUUUGUGAGACCAGGAAUCCUAAGAAUUUACCUGAUCCCACCCCGAACACACGCUUCUCGGGGUUAAGCUUCAUAUUUUUCUCCCUCAGCGUCUCAAACAUUUCUUGCAUAUAUCUUAGGUGAUUACCUACAUGCAGAGACUUAACGAGAAUAUCGUCUAUAUAUACUUCCAUGGUUCUUCCUAUUUAUUUUUCGAACAUCUUAUUUAUGAGCCGUUGGUAAGUGGCUUCGACAUUUUUUAUUCCGAAGCGCAUUACGUUGUUACAAUAUGUACCAAAACUUGUUAUAAAUGAAGUCUUUUCUCGGUCUUUCGGGUUCAUCUUGAUCUGAUUGUACCCGAAAUAGGCAUCGAGUAAAUUCAUUAACUCAUGCUCGACCGUAGCGUCGAUCGUUUGAUCGAUAUUUGGCAAUAGGAAUGAGUCCUUCGGGCAUGCCUUAUUAAGAUCGUUAUAAUCUACGCACAUGCGAAAUUUAUUGUUCUUCUUAGGAACUACUACUACAUUAAGUAGACGUGUUACCUCUUCUUUGACGAAUUUAUUCCUUACUUCGGCAAUAGGGCACUUCUUUGCUUGGGUCCAAGCUUAACUUUUGCACGACUAUUUCUGUUGGGAUUCCUGUCAUAUCCUCGUGCUACUGUGCAAAACAAUCAUCGUUUAUUUUAAGGAAUUUAUAAAAUCCGACCUGAGCUCUAGGUGUAGUCCUGUGCCCAAAUGGAAUUUCCUUUUUGUUUUUUUAAACAGUGCAACCUGCUCUAGUUCUUCAGCUAUGGAUUUUGUUGUGUCUGUUUCUUCCGGUACUUGAAAAUACCUUGGUAUAUGAUAUUGCUCUGACUUUACUAACCCUGGGGAAACUUCCUCUAGUUCGGGGUCGGAAGCCACUUUCGAUAACUGCUAUGCCGUAUGUUCCUUUACCUUUCUAUGAGAGAUUGAGAUCGUAUUCAUCUAUCUCGCUGCCGGUUGAUCACCUCUUAUCCGCUUGAUCCUCUCGGGUGUUGGGAAUUUCAACAAUUAGUGGUACGUUAAAGACACAUCUUUCAUCACGUGCAGCCAUAGCCUUCCCAUGAUGAUAUUAUAGCCCAUGUCCCCAUCGACUACUUCGAAGAGAGCUAUACUUGUUACGCGCUCGUCAUCCGUAAGCAGUAAAAUUUCCUCUCGGGUUGUCACACUUUCUAGGUUGAAUCUGGUAAGGAGCUUUGUUGUCGGGACGAUGUUCCCUGUGAGUUUAGCUUGAUCUAGAACUCUCCAUUGUAUGAUAUUGGCGGAACUUCCUAGAUCCACUAAAGCACAUUUAAUUUUAAAAUUUAACACAUUUAAAGAAAUUACCAAUGCGUUAUUAUGCGGUAGUAGUAAUCCAUCCCGUCUUCAUCCGUGAACGUGAUAUCAUCCUCCCGGAAUCUCUUACUAUAGUUUGUCGAUACUUUAUUCUUCUUUUCGGCCGAGAAAGUGACCCCAUUAAUCUCGUCCCCUCCGAAGAUCAUGUCGAUCGUUUGACAUGGAGGUUCUUCUCCUGCCUUUGAGGUUUGCGCAUCGCCCCUAUCCCGGCCAUAAUUAUUUUUGGUUCAGUCACUCAAUAGUUUUUUGAGGUGACCAUUCUUCAAUAGCGUUGCCACUUCUUCUCGGAGGUGCCGACAGUCCCCGGUCCGAUGGCCAUUAGUGUAGUGGUAUUCACACCAUAGAUUUGGGUACCUCUGACUGGGAUCAGACCUCAUAUGUAUCAGGAAUCAUGCCUCUUUGAUAUCUCUCAUGACCGACACUAACUCCACCACACUAACGUUGAAAUUAUACUCUGAUAACUUUGGAUAAGAAGAACCUCGUGGUCCUGAAAUUUCUCUAUCCUGCAACGAUCUGUUGUUCCACCCACGAUCGGUCCUCCUGUCUAUGGUGAAACUGUCCGAUGUCCGGAAGCUCCUGUCUCGCCCCUCCAUCCGCUCAUAGGGCAGAAAUCGGUCCCUUGAAACUUGUCGAUGUGAGUCGACAUCAUCCUUUUUUCCCUUUAUUCUUCUCCCUUCCCUUUGCUGAUGAUGGGAAGUCAACCUGAUCAUCUUUGAUCCUUAUCUUUGACUCGUAUCGGUUGUGGACAUCCUCCCAAGUUGUUGCUUGAAACUCGAGAAGACUUUCUUUCAACUUCUGGGAAGCAUCUUAGCUCUUCGGGUUCAAACCCUUAGUGAACACUUCAGCUGGCCAUUCGUCCGGGACAACCAGUAACAAAAUCCUUUCCUUCUAGAACCGGCUAAUGAACCUUCGUAAUAGCUUAAAUUCUCCUUGUAUGAUCCUGAAUAUACCGGCCUUUCGGGCGUGUGCCUUUUUGGCACCAGCAUGGGCCUUGAUGAACAAAUCUGCGAGCAUUUCGAAAGAAUCUAUGGAAUGCUCGAGAAAUAAUGAGUACCAUUUCAAGGCUCCCCUCGCGCGAGUCUCACCAAAUUUCUUCAAUAACACUGACUCGAUUUCAUGAUGAGCAAGAUCAUUUCCUUUCACCGUCGUUGUGUAAGUGGUGAUGUGUUCCUAUCGAUCAGAGGUCCCAUCGUAUUUUGGCACUCCAGGCAUUCUGAAUCGCUUUGGGAUUAAUUCCGGGGUCGCACUCGAUUUGUACGGUAAUUGGAUGUACUUCUUUGAGCUUGGGCCUUUCAAUAUCGGGGGUGCUCCCAAAAUUUGGUCCAUGCGGGCGUUUACUUCCUUCAUGAACUGCAAGAGUUCCGCCUUGAAGAGAUCGUUAUCGCUGUUGAGUCCAUAUCUGCUCCCCUCAGCCCCGCCGGAGCCAACUUCGCCCCUGGAAGUAUUAUUGUCGACUAUCUAUGUUGUUUCGUUCGUAGGAACAAUGGGAGGAACUAGAUCUCACCUAUUUACAUUAUUUGAAGCGCCUGAUAGCGCUUGUUUUAACUCCAUCAUGACCUGAUCCUGCUGCGUGAAGUGUCUUAAGAUGAUUUCAUGUUUCUCUUGCAGGAUCCUUACCACGCCUGCUACGUGCCCCUGGUCAGCACCAUCUGGAGCCGCUUCCCAUACUCGUCUAGGGUACCGCCCGUCACACACUGGUGUGGCAUCUUCCCCAUCAUUGCGAGUGUCACUGAUUGAGUCCUCAUAAUGGGGAUGUUCCCCCUGAACCUUAGGAUCGCCGGUGUUAAUAACGGUAUUGAUUACCAUUUUUGGUUAAGCUUGUCUUUGGAGAAAAAGCAAGGACUAAUUUUAAUCGCACGACUAUCUAGGCUUCACGGUGGGCGCCAAACUGUUUGCCAGUAAACGGUACAGUUGAAUUUAUUCGUGGUUUCUAGACAGAUAAAUCAAUUUGAUCCCAAAAUAUAAUGAAUUAAUCAAUUUUCGUACAUGAUACUUAGCUCAAAUAUAAAUAAAACGAUAGAUUUGGGGAGCCCUAAAACAGGAUUUUCGGGCAUGAUAAUAGCAACAAGCUAGGUAGAGAAAUAGUAUUAAGAUGCUGUAUUAGAAUAUCUUCUUUGAUGCCCAAAACAUUAUCCCUUACAAUGACAGUUGAGCCUAUUAUUUAUAACUCAGUGGGCGUAAUGGUCGGGCCCACUACUACUGACAAUUAUUAAAGUGUGAUAAUGGAAACCUAACGGUAAAUAUAAAUGCUUAGAUUUCUUUAAUGAGCCGUUACUCUUCAAUGAUAUGGAAUAUUUUUCAUUAAAUGCCAUCGGGCGCAGCAUGCUUAAUGCCCUUAUGAACUUGGCUUUCUCGGUGACACACGAGAUAGUUGUGCCCGGUUUUCCAUCCUCCCGGUUUUGAUUCCACAUGUCCCCUUCUUAGGUGGCGACGCAGCAUAGCGUAUUUUACCCAGUAUAGGUUCUUUAUCAAUCUUUGUGGUUGCCCCAUAUCAUGGAAAUCCAAAAAGAAAGAUGUUGUGUCUCUUCCAUCCGCAGAAUCUGAACAUUGCUCUAUGCAACGUCUUGUUGCUGAACUCAGCUAGUUAGUCCGGCUGCUUGGUGAUAUCUUUAGGUUGCCCUCUUUGCUAGUUCCGGUAUACUGCGACAGUAAGGCAGCCAUCCACAUUGCGAAAACCCCUAUAUUUCAUGAGCGGACAAAGCAUCAAACUCGACUGUCACUUUGUUCGCCAAAAAUAUUUGGAUGGCCUGGUUUCCCUGUCUUUCGUUCCCUCUUCCAGCUAACUUGCCGACAUUUUUACCAAGGAUUUUGUCGGUCCACUUCAUUGUUCUAUUAUAUGCAACUUUGGAGUCCGUAAACCGCCCUCCAACUUGAGGGGGGUGUUGGUCGUGCUAUUGGAGAUGGGAAAGAACCUUAUGGCGAUGGUGGCGAAAGAGAUAAAGGAGUUCAACAUUUUGAAAGAAAGAGGCUGACGUUAAGCUCGAGUCAACAGUAUUAAGUCCUUGGUACGUGGAUAGAUUAGAAGCUGGGGAUUUACUUAAAUACUGACAAAAUUUGACGAACUCAAAACACACACCUAAAUUAUGAUCGCUAAUCAAAUAUAGUAUUGUAUAAUAUAAUAUCCACAGGGAUUGGAUUUAAACAAUAUUCUCAUAGUUUCUAGCUUGAUUGAUAUCCAAGAUGAUCAACAAUUGAGAUUUCUAUGAUUUUUAACUACAAUUAACUAAGAAUCUAAAUCUAUUGACUAAUGAAAAUCGCAACAAAGGUAAGCAAGGAAGUUAUUAAUGGGAGAAAAUAAGGGUUGAUAGGAUAUGUGCAAGAUAAUUGUUUGGCAUCUAACUCUAGGUAAUUCACUUCUAAUGUUUAAGUGAGUCUCUCGAAUUGACUUAAAUAUUAGUUCAAACAUUCAGCAAAAACUCCUCUCUCGAUUGAGUCUUAACCUCAUAAGAUGAACCAAUUUAAGCACGUAAAAAUAUGCAAGAAUGCGUAGUGGAUUGGUUUUUAGGAGAACCUCUCUCGAUUAUCCUCCAAACUUGGUUUAAUCAAUGAUUCAACUAGCCUCUUUAAUUUACUAAGAAUAAUUAAUGAACUCAACCAACAAUAUNNNNNNNNNNNNNNNNNNNNNNNUCCAAACUCAAGUCUUGAGUGAGGAAGGAAUGAUGAAAUCCAUGUGCUUGUGUUCUUCCAACUACUCCUUAGCCACCUUGGGCCAAAUAUGUGUCAAAAUUCCUGAAAAUAACGUUUUCAUAUAUUUAUACCAAGUAGGGUCGGGCCUAGACAAAACCACCUACUCCUAGCCGAUAGGAAAAUAACUUUGUAUAAAUUGUGCAUGGGGCGACGCACCAUGCGGUGCAUUAGCGGGGAAAUCCAGAGAGCUAAUUUCUGACAGACAGUAGAGGAUUGCACAAGCGCGGUGCCCCACGCGCUGCCCCCACACACCGCGACAAUGGGGAUUUCUCAAAGUACGGAUGUUGCUUGCGUUUUGACGUCCAGACUUCGUCCUCGACCCCCGAAUAUGAUCCUGGCCUAGUCCCUUGGGCAUUUACUCAGACUUCAAAGCUCCAAAUAGCUCGAAUUAGCUCGACAACAUAAAUAGCUCGGAAUCACUCCUACAACACAUAAAACGCAUAAUUAGUGCAAAACACUAUCAAUUAAAGGUCAAACAUGAAUAAAGUACAGUGAAUUAGAGUGUAAUAGGCGACUAAAAUACGUAAUUAUAGCCUACCAUCAACACCCCACACUUAAACCAUUUCUUGUACUCGAGCAAUCAUACUACACUUCAUAUAAACAAGAUCAUUUUCAACAACUCUCCUAACUCAUCACACCAAGAAUAUUUAAAACAAACUAAGCACAAUAUCAUAACAUCCUUGCCUCAAGAUUUGACUCAAAAGCACCACAGAGUUUUCAUAACUCGCUCACUUACUCUAACACAGAGGUCAACGACAUUACCUUUCCUUUAUGAAUCAAGUGCCCUCACACAAUAAUAGAGAGUAGUUCCGUACACAAUAAAAUUUAAGAACAAUCAGGAACUCAAGAUUGAAAGAAUUCACUCACUCUCAGAAGUAACAUUCGUAUGCCACAAAAUACGCACCAUAGGCUUGCUCGUAGUGUACUACUCUACUAAUUGAGCUAAUUCAGUCAAGGAUCAAGUAGGACUUUCAUUGAUUGCAAUGUAGGUUGCAGGAUGGGUAGGAUACAUUUGGAUAUAAGAGAGACUACACCUACCUAAGUAAUUUAAUACAUACAUGUCAUUGUUCACAACUCCAGACUUGUGUCAAACCUUAACUCUACCUUCACAUCAACAUACAUUAACUCCCGACUUUUUUAAGCACAAUUACAUCAAGUUACCACUAUCAAGGAAUAAUUUUCACAAUCAUACACUUAUUUUUUAUUUCUUUUUCAAUUCAAGCGGCUCUUAAUUUUUCAAAAUAGUGCACAUUUCUCCUUAUUUCAAUAGUUCCACUCAAAAUCCAAACCAACACCCCACACUUUACUUUUACAAAGUUCAUAACAAAUUCAAGUGCUUGCGAGAGGUAAAAGGUUCAAAUAGAUGGUCAAUCCAAACAAAUGGGUAAGACUUGUAAUGUGAUUGCCAAAGAAACAAGAUUACAAGCUCAAAGGGGUUAACUAAGACACAUAACAAUUAGGUGGGUAAAAGUGUAUAACUAGCUCAACAAAAAAAUGCAUAUAUCACUUCUAACACUAAAUAAAACUACCAUUUCACUUUGCAAACACACGGGGCAAGUUCUAGAUAUCAAAUGCAAUGCACAAAAUUUGCAAGAUCUCACACACACUUGACACAUAACUCACUUAGGAUUGGACUAUCAAGACACUCUAGUCAAAGCAGUUAAGUAAAGUUAAGAUCCUACAAUUCAAGGUACUUAUACAAGAGUCAAAAACUAACCCUAAGCGUCACAACUAAAGCACUUACUAUUCUAAAGGUAUAAUAAAGUUAAGAGAUAUUGCAUGCAAUUCAAAUCACAGCACAAAGUUUCCUACUCCUCUACAAAACAAAAACUAACUACAACCGAUUCAAACAAAACCCUUGGAAAAGAACCGCGGUACAAAGAAAAACCAAGGGGAAAUUAUUACACUACCUACAAAAUCAAAUCUUUUUGUCUUUUUUCUUUAAACUUUAAUCCCUCAAGAAACUUGUCGAUGAUAUCCAUCGUCGGGAAAAAUCAAAAAAUUUAAAAAUUUUAUGUUUUUUUUUUCAAUUUGUUUUUAAAAUUUCAACUACUACAACUAACAAAAGGAAAACUAAUAUACAUACAUACAACAUAUCCCCCACCCCAUACUUUAAGUUAUGGCAUGUCCCAAUGACACACAAUUAAAAAGCAUAAGGUAAAGGAAACUUCCUUGAACAUCUAGUCGGUGUCUGAGUCGAAGUCGGGCUCCAUUCCUCGCGCCCGAACCAAUGCACACAUCCAUGCAGACAAAUUCUUCUCAGCCUUCUUGGGGUACACCCCACACUUAUCUUUCUGGCUCACCACAUCCUUCUCUUUCGAGCCCUUCACUUUCCACUCAACACUUGCAACUAGUUUUUCCUUUUGUACCCCCUUUGCUACAUUCAUCUCAAAAGUUACAGUCUCACCCACUCUAAACAUGAGUUUUCUCUCAUGUAUAUCCAAUAUUGCUCUACUCUUCGCUAAGAAUGGUCUUCCUAGGAUGAGGGGGACCUCUUUGUUUUCUCUAUAUUCACCACUAUAAAGUCUAUAGGAAAUAUGAACUUAUUCACCCGAACUAACACAUCUUCCAUAAUCCCCUUAGGUAUUAUAGUCAUUUGGUCUGCUAGUUGCAAAGAUAUGGGUGCAGACCUUAUCUCUCAAAUCUCCUUCUCCAGUUUCCUGUAAAUAGAUAGAGGCAUUAAAUUAAUUGAGGCACCAGAAUUACAUAAUGACUUAUCAAAAUGAAUAGUUCAUAUAGAGUAAGGUAUUGUAAAACUCCCUGGAUCUCCACACUUUUGUUGGAGUGUAUUUUUCAAUAUCACUCUGCAAUGCUAUGUGAGCUUGACCACUGAGGUCUCAUCUAUCUUCAUCUUCUUUGUAAAGAUCUCGUUCAAGAAUUUGGCGUAAGCAAGCAUUUGUGAGAGCAUUUCUGUGAAUGGUAAGUUUACAUGAACCUGUUUCAGCACAUCCAGAAAUCUCCCAAACUGCUUGUCUAGCUUUUCUCUAUAUAGUUUUGAGGGAAAGGUAAAGCAGGCAUAUGCUCUCUCUCAUCAUGUUCCUCCCUUCUCGAAGUUUCUCCCUUCUUCUUUUUUCUCAACUUUCAUUUGUCCCGUCUUCUUUUUAUCAACAUAACUCUUCAAAUGCUCCCCACUUUAUUUUUCAAAUUUCACAUCAUUUUGGAUUGGGAUGGGAUCUUUUAACACUUGCUCAAUUCUCAGAGUUACAACAUUCACUGUUUCUUUGGGAUUUCUCUCAGUAUCAGCAGGGAGGGAAUCCUUUCAGACAAUAGAGUCGCUAGCUGCCCAACCUGUCUUUCCAAAUUUCGAAAACCAGAGCCCAGUUAUUGAUAGCCGCUCCAUGUUCCCGUGUAGCUGCACUAUGAGUUUCAAAGCUCUCAUCAGUUUUCAGAAAGAAGGUCUUCAUGAGAUCUUCUAUGCGAGACUGAAUGGGAUGUUAAGGCUGAAAUUGCUGCCUCUGCUAAUUCAUAAAUCCAGGAGCUCCUUGUCCCUGGCUGGGGUUGUUUUGUUGCCAUGCAUUCGCAGUACCCCCAGGUGAACUCCAUGAAAACCCGGGGUGCCUCUAAACCCAUUGCAUUAUAAUUUCUCACAACAUUCACAUCCUCAGUUGAGGCUUGACACUCAUGAUUAGGGUGUCCUCUUCCACAUAUAUCACAAGCUGCGUGAGACUCAUUUUGUAUUAAGGCUAAGGUUAGCUUUCGUAUUUCUUUAGCCAUAGCAUCAAGCUGUACUUGCACAUAUGUAUUAGCAUCAACUUGGUGAACCCCAGUUGAUCUUCUUCUUUCAGCACUCUCAGAGAGCCACUGAUUAGCAUCUUCAGAUAACUCAUCAAGAAUUGCAACUAUCUCUUCUGGAGUCUUCUUCAUCAAAGGGCCUCCAACUGCAUUUCUCAAUGUUCUACGCGAGGCUGAUGCCAAUCCUUCCCAAAAAUCCUGGAGUUGCAUCCAGAUUUCAAUUCCGAUAUGUUGAAACUUUCUAAUAAUCUCCUUAAACCUUUCUCAUGCUUCAAACACAGUUUCAGUUUCUUUCUGGAAAAAGUUAUGGAUUUCUCUUCUAAUCUUGCCCGUCUUAGCUGAGGAGAAAUAUUUAUCAAGGAAUUUUCUGGUCAUCUCCUCCCAGGUUCUAAUCGAGUCACUGGGCAAGCUUUGAAGACACUCCUUAGCAUCACCUUUAAGUGAAAAGAGGAAUGCCCUUAAUUACACUGCAUCUUGCGACACCCUAUUGUAUUGAAAGGUAUUCAUAAUCUCCUCAAAGUCCAUUAGAUACGUGUUUGGAUUUUCGUUUGGCUUCCCUCUGAAGACAAAACAAUUCUGAAGGGUUUGAAUCAACCCUUGCUUCAACUCGAAAUUGUUUGCUGCAGUUGGAGAUGAUCUAACACUGGAUAAUCCUUGAUUAUAGACCGGUCUAGCAUAAUAGCCAAGUGGUCUCCCAGGCAAGGGUUGAUGUUGAUUAAGUCCGAGACCCCUUUCUUAUUCAUAGAUAUUCUCUGCAUGUCUAAUAGCUGCUUCCUCAGCAUCCCGUGCAGCUUUUCCGCAUUGUUGGGAUGUCUCUCUUGCAACCAAAUCUAUAUUAUCAUCACCGUGUCUAGCCAUAGUUUCUUUGAUUGAGGAUUGCCCAACCUUUUCUGAUAUCUCGGUGAGAUCUCUUUCCUUCCUCAGCUGUCGCAGUUGUUUUUCUAUCUCUGACUCGUAUGGUAGCGCGCACUUCUUUCGCAGAAGCUCGAGCCAUGCACCACUCUAAACCUGUCACCUGCGCAUAGUCAAAGAACACCAAACGUAAAAAGAGAAAAAUAAAAAUAAAAAGAAAAAUUCUUGAAUUAGCACUACAAACUAUUUCAAUCACUAUUGUCACCAAUUCCCAGCAACGACGCCAAAAUUUGAUGAGCUCGAAACACACACCUAAAUUAUGCUCGCUAAUCAAAUAUAGUAUAGUAUAAUAUUCUAUCCUUGUGGAUUGGAUUUAAACAGUAUUCUCGUAGUUUCUAGCUUGAUUGCUAUCCAAGAUGACCAACAAUUGAGAUUUCUAUGAUUUCUAACUAUAAUUAACUAAGAAUCUUAAGCUAUUAACUAAUGACAAUCGCAACAAAGGUAAGCAAGGAAGGUAUCAAUGGGAGAAAAUAAGGGUUGAUAGGAUAAGUGCAAGAUAAUUUCUUGGGAUCUAACUCUAGGUAAUUCACUUCUAAUGUUUAAGUGAGUUUCUCAAAUUCACACACUUAUUAGUUCAAAUGUUCAACAAAAACUCCUCUCUCGAUUAAGUCUUAACCUCACAAGAUGAACCAAUUUAAGCACAUGAAGAUAUACAAGAAUGCGUAGUGGAUUGGUCUUUAGGAGAACCUCUCUCGAUUAUCCUCCUAACUAAGUUUAAUCAAUUAUUCAACUAGCCUCUUUUGAUUACUAAGAAGAAUUAAUGAACUCAACCAACAAUAUAAUGUAAAGAUAUCACAAGUUAUGCCUCUCUAGAUUACAUGAAGAAGUGAAUAUAGAUGCAACAAUUAAAUUAUCCAAAAACGCUUCAAUACAUAAAACUAGAGUUAUAAUCCACAAAUAAUCAUCAACACACCAAAUCCAUCAAACCCUAAAGAGAACUAUUCCAUAGAUAUGGAGCAAUGCUUCACAAAUAAAGUUAAAGUAGAGGAAAACAUAAAUUCAAUCCAAACUCGUGUCUUGAGUGAGGAAGGAAUUAUGAAAUCCUUAUGCUCGUGUUCUUCCAAUUCCUCCUUAGCCUCCUUAGGUUGAAUAUGUGUCAAAAGUCCUGAAAAUAAUAUUUUUCCAUGUAUUUAUACUAAUUAGGGCCGGGCCUAGACGAAACCACCUUCUCCUAGCCGAAAUAGAAAAAUAACUCUGUAAAUAUUAUACGAGCGCACCGCAUGGGGCGACGCGCCAUGCAGGGCAUUAAUGUGGAAAUCUAGAGAGCUAAUUUCUGACAGACAUCAGAGGAUUGCACAAGCGCGGUGCCACACGCGCAUCGACAGUGGGGAUUUCUCAGAGUACGGAUUUUGCUUGCGUUUUGAUGUCCAGACUUCGUCCUCGACCCCCGAACAUGAUCCCGGCUUAAUCCCUUGGGAUUUUCCUCAUACUUCAAAACUACAAAUAGCUCAAAUUAGCUCCACAACAUUUACAUAGCUCUGAAUCACUCCUACAAGGCAUAAAACGCAUAAUAAGUGUAAAACACUAUUAAUUAAACCCCAAACAUGAAUAAAGUUCAGUGAAUUAGAGUGCAAUAAGCGACUAAAAUACGUAAUUAUAGCCUACCAUCACAACAGUAUAAAUGUUUGGGGAUAUAUUUAAUUAUACUAGCUAUGCUUUUAUAUAUUGAGUAGGGCCCACAUAGAUUAGCACAGUGGAUAAUAUUUUCCUUCUUAUUCUGAGUUAUAUAUAAACGAUCAGCUAGGCGAUUAUCAAUACAGAUUUCAUUUUUUCAAAAAACACUCUCUAGAACUUCUUUUCUAGUAUAAUUCUCAAAUUUCGUCAAAGCCAUUGGUUUAACCGGUUGAUUCAUAUGAUCAAUUUCAGAUAUCAUAAGAUUAAUUUCAUGUGCUAUACGUUCUCUACUAAUAUUAUUAGUGAAUGCAACCUUCACAUCCUCGUCCGUUGCUGCCUUCUUCAGUUCUUCAUCCAAUGUAACUUAAACCUUGCAACAAAAUGAAUAGCUCAAAGAACUCUAAGAGGAUCAUCCAUAAAUGUUUUCUUCGGAGGUAAUGUGUAAUAAUUUUACCAGACUUGAGAUCAGCAAUGCCUUUUCCUGUAAAAUCUUCGACUAAUUUAGUUCUAAUAUGGUAAAACAAGCUAUUAAUGGUUAAAUUCCUUCGAUAUGCAUUCCCUUUUGGAGUGCCAAAUUUGUUAAUUGUUGGAAUACGACUGUUGUCACCGUAGUGUUCUGAUCUUAUGUUAAUGAAAUCAAUACUUACGCCUUCUAUGCGCAUCAUUAUUGUUUCCAAGUGCUUUGAUUAUUCAGGACUGCUCUGGAUUUCACCAAUAUUUUGAGUUUUUCACCUAAUUUUGAUAAGUACGCAUUUAAUUUCUCACAAAAUUCUAGUCCAACUUGUCUAGAGCAAUAUCAAUAUCAAUAUCGUUGCAGUUUUGACCUAGCAACUUAUCACGAACCCAGCCACCAGCAACACAAAGCUCUGUUUCCAGAUUAAAAUGUUCGACAACUUGAUGAAGAAGCUCGAAUAUAUCCUCCUCCGAUGGUGUUAAGUCUAUAUGAUCCAUCACUUGGACUGACAACGACGUCGGAGAUGCUGACUCUAAAUCUAUCAUUGUUGUUUGGAAAGUGAAGAGACGAGAUGUUGAAACACUCACGGUGGCGUGGGGGGGGGGGAUUUAAAUAGAUAAAUAGGUUUUAGAGUAAAUUUGAUUAAUAUCAAAUGUUAAGUGUGCUGAUUAAUAUAUUUUCGAAAAUUUUACCUCCUAUAGCAAACUAUUACACCGUAUUUAUUAUAAAUCAAAAUAAUUUCAAAAUAUUAUUACUUAUAGCUACCUUUUCUAUUGUAUAACAAGAUAGAUAUUUAUUUUGUACCCUACUAUUAAGGAGGAAUUAUCCCAAUUAUGUUCUUUAUCUUUCUCUUCCCCCUCUCUUUAUCAGCAAGAUUCCCAAUCCUCUCUCUUCUCCCUCAAAUCUCUCUUCUCAUAUCAAUUACUUAUCAUGGACCCGAGAUUGAUGCACCAGCCAUGCGAAUCCACAUUAGUGAGAGAGUAGUAAGUUAAUGAGGUAAAAGUGCUUCCCCAUCAAAGGCAUAACAAUGCAAGGGUGAGUAAACCAAAUGUUAAUUUUUACUUUUCAAACCUGUGCACAGAAUUAGGAUGAUCACUACUGUCAAGAUUAUCAUAAUCUUCUGAAACAUGAAAGUCCAUUGGAAGAAGUAACACCCUCAGCAUGUAAGAUAUCCACAUCUGAAGGUUUAUAGUCAGCAUAUAAGAUAUCCACUCCGGAGAAGACUUGAGGGCCGACUUUUUGUUCUUCUCCAUUUUUAAUUUUAAUAUAAUGUAUAUAAUAUUUUUCUUGGCCGAAAAACGCCAUCUCCGAUGAACUUUCUUCUCUUCUUUACUAUUGAGUCAUAUACAAAGAUACAAAUACAUUGUAUUAAGUACAAAUAUAAUCUAAUAUAUUAUAUUUUUGUAUAAAUAUAUUAUUUUUUCGCCUAUAUUUAUGUAUUCUAAAGGUCUGUAUUUUUUUAAUACAACUGAAUAUCACUAUUGUUUGUGAUUUUUUAUUAUUUGAAUACAGUCGAAUUGAAUACGGUGAAUUGAAAAUAAUGUAUAAUAGUAAAUAAUAAAUAUAUGUGAAUUGAAUACUAUGUAUACAAUCGAAUUGAAUAGAACCGUAUACACCCUAUUUCCUGAUUUUUUGUUGUUUGAAUACAACUGAAUUAAAUAUAGUAAAAUUGAAUACAAUUCAAUAUUGCGCUUUCUGUUAUUAAACACAUGUAAUGUCACGACCCGGAAUUCUCACCCUCGGGACCAUGAUGGCGCCUAAUAUUUCACUUGCUAGGCAAGCCAAUGUUAGAUAUAAUUAUUAGCCAUUUUAAACAAUUCCAAUUAAAUGAGAACAAAUAAGCUGAAAUAAACUAAAAUAGAGUGCAUAAACUAAAUUAAACGGCGAUAUCCAAAUACAAUCCCAGAACUGGUGUCACAAGUUCACGAGCGACUAGAGUACUACAAUUAAUAGUCUGAAUGAAAGCAUAACUGUCUGAAAUAAAAUAAACAGCUAGAGUAAAGUAGAAGAGGAUUUCAGGGUUGUGAACGUCGUGCAGCUAUACCUCAAGUCUCCGUCACGCACCGGAUCCGAGAAAUCUACUGACCUCCGCUAGGCCCGACUCCAAAAUCUGCAAAAGAAGUGUAGAGUGUAGUAUGAGUACAAACAACCCCAUGUACUCUGUAAGUGUCGAUCAUAACCUCGAUGAAGUAGUGACGAGGCUAAGGCGGGUUACUUAUAAUAACCAAUACACAAUAUAAUAAGAGGAAAGGAAAACAGGAAAGGUAAAGCAGCCAACUUAUGAAAAAGAACUCAAUGCUUGUAAUUAGAGAAACUGGAAUAACCGAUGUCACAAUUUCAUGUAACAACACUGGAAAUUAACACAAUAACAACAAUGAAUACAUAACACACAAUCUGUUGCGGCGCGUAACUCGAUACCACCGUACAACACACAAUCCUCCCUUAUUUCACCAUAUAUAUAUAUAUAUAUAUAUCAAGAAUCACAUAUAAAAUUCGUUGCAGCGCGCAACUUGAUCUCACCAUAUCAUCAUAAUCAAUAUCAUAAUCCUUCCUAAUUUUACCAUAUCAAAUCACAUAUAAAAUCUGUUGCGGCGUGCAACCCGAUCCCACCAUAUCAUCAUAAUAAAUAUCAUAAUCCUAGCGUAUUUAACCAUAUCAAAUCACAUAUAAAAUUCGUUGCGGCGCGCAACCCGAUCCUACCAUAUAAAUAUCAAAUCCUCCCUUAUUCCACCAUAUCACAAUCGUUGCAGCGUGCAGUCCGAUCCAUAAAUAAAUUUAAUAAAUGUAAUCAAUCCAGCAACUCAAUUCACAAGAAUCUCUACGAUUAAAGAAUAUGAAAGGAAAUCAAUAAAGGAACCAUGUACCAAAUCGAGCAAUAUAAAAAUUAAUACAAAGCAACAAGACAAGCCAAAUAUAUGACAGUUAAAGUGUACAAGACAAUUAAGGCAAGUAGCAAUUAAUCAUGGAGAGGAACGAACAUUUCAAUACAAGAGCAAUUAAUGACAAGUAACAAGGUACGACAUAGAAAGCAAUUAAGGCAUGUAAUAGUUAAGACAUGGAAUAGGAUAAUUCAUGAAAUACGAGAAAUCAUGGAAACAAUUAUUUUGACGGCGUACAUAUAUACAAUCGUCACCUCGCAUAUACACCGUUACACAUGUAAUUCACAUAACAUAUAGUUCAAGGGUUCCUAAUUCCCUCAAAACAAGGUUAGACCCAAUACUUACCUUGCUCUGCAACUCAAGCAAUCACUCAACCAUGACCUUGCCUUUUGAACAAGCCUCCAAACCAUCCAAAUCUAGUAAUUUAUUGGCUAAACAAUUCAAAUUAAGCUGUAGAAAUUACCCACAAAUGCAAGAGGUUCAACUUAGAUUAUUUUUGAAAAUGUCUACAAAAGUCAACCCUUAGGUCUGCUUGGUCAAAACCGAGAUACGGACCAAUACCCGAUUAUCCAUUCACCCCCGAUCCUGGCUAUGUAAUUUGUUUCAAAACCCGACCUCAAUUCGAGGUCUAAAUCCCAUAUUUACAAAAAUUUCUAAUUCUACCAAAAUCCCUAAUUUUUACCAUGAAAAUCCUAAUUUUGAUGUUGAAAUCUUAUGAAAUGCAAUGGGUACUUGAAAAUAAAUAAAUUAAAGUCACUUAUCAAUGAACUUAUAAAGAAAAUCUCUUGUGAAAAUCGCCUCUAUGAUAUUUAGGGUUGAGAAAAUGUGAGAAAUGAGCUAAGUCCCGUUUCCCCCUCUUUUAUCCAGAUGUGGAUGUCGCAAUUGAGAUAUCUUGUUCGCAAUUGCGAACAUCGCAAAUGCGAAGCACAUGUCGCAAUUGCGACAAAUUAAUCGCAAAUGCAAACUGCCUUCCUUCGUAAAAGCGACCAAAUUCUUCGCAAAUGCGAAGAAUGUCCAACUCUACAUAUGUAACGACUCGGGCGGUCGUUUCGAGAGUUAUAGCCCCAUUUUUUCCCAUUUCUUCUUCCUUUUGUACUUUUUAGCUAUAUUAUGAUAUACCGGGUUAGUUGGUUCGGGUCCGGAGUAGUUUCGGAGUGGAUUGAGACACUUAGUCUCUAAAGUAGAAGCUUAAGUUGGAAAAAUCAACCUGAUGUUGACUUAUAUGUAAACAAUCUCGGAUUUAAAUUUUGAUGGUUCUGUUAGCUCCGUUUGGUGAUUUUGGACUUAGGAGUGCGUCAAGAAAUGUGAUUUGGAGGUCCAUAGUGGAAAUAGGCUUGAAUUGGCAAAAGUUGGAAAUGUGGCGAUUUCGGUCUGCAGUGGAAAAUUUGAUAUUGGGGUCGGAAUGGAUUUCUGGAAGUUGGAGUAGGUUUGUGGUGUUAUUUGUGAUGUGUGUGUAAAAUUUGAGUUCAUUCGGACGUGGUUUGGUAGGUUUUGGCGUCGUUUGCGGAAUUUGGGAAGUUAGAAGUUCUUAGGCUUGAAUCCGAGGUUAAUUUCAUGUUUUGAUGUUAUUUGGAGUGAUUAUGUGAUUUGUCUAAGUUUGUAUGUUGAUAUAUGACUUGUUGGUAUAUUUGGUUGAGGUCCCGAGGGGCUUGGGGUGAGUCCGGGUGGUUAACGGAUUAUUUGAAGUUGGAAAAAUGCAGCUGAAGCUGCUGCUACUAGUAUUUCCGCACCUGCGGAGGGGGAGCCGCAGGUGCUAGGUCGCUGGUGCGCUUGGUGAGCCGCAGAUGUGGACAUAGAGGACCUGGGAUGGAAUCGCAGGUGCGUAAGAUUAGUCGCAUCUGCGAGCCCGCAGAUGCGAAGCUGUGUCACAGAUGCAGAAGUGAGGAGGACUGGCAGUGGCUGCAGGUACAGGGUCUUUUCUGCACCUGCGAGGUCGCAGAAGCGGAUAUGGAACACAGGUGCGGAGAUGGGAACUUAUGUGAUUUUCCGCAGAUGCGGAGAUUUGUGCGCAAAAGCGGCUCCGUAGGUGCGCAUUUUUGAGCCGCAUAUGCGAAAACCUGGGCAGAACCUAUAGAUAGAAGACUUCGCGAAUUUUUGUUCAUUUCCACCAUUUUCAAGUCGGACCUUGGAACUUUUGGAGUGAUAUUUUAAGGGGAUUCAAGGAUAUUCACUGAGGUAAGUUGCUUCAGCUCUAUUAACAUUAGCUAUGGUGUUUUCCAGUUAAUUUCCCACCUAAUUAGUAGGACUUUUGAUGUGAAAUAAGGGGUUAGGGCUUGGGAUUUUGGAGAGAGGAAUUUGAGGAUUUGAAGGACCAAAUGAUGUCGGAUUUAGAUUAAUUAUAGUAUGGGUAAACUCGUGAGUGAAUGGGCUUUUAGGUUUUAUGACUUUUGUCGGAUUUCGAGACGUGGGCCUAGGGGCCGGGUUUGAGAGAAUUUCAGGAUUUGGCCUAUAAAUUGGUAUUUUCCUUGUGGGAUUCAUUCCUUUAGCUCAUAUUGAUCGUAUUUUAUUACUUGUGGCUAGAUUCAGGUCAUUUGGAGGCCGGUUCGAGAGGAAAGGGCAUUUUAGAGUAGGAGUUCUACGUUGUUGAGGAAAGUAAUAGUUUUAAAUCUGGUCUUGAGGGUAUGAAACCAGGAGUUUGCUAUAAUGUGACUGUUUGAAGGUGGCACCCAUGCUAGGUAACGGGCGUGUAGGUGUAUGCUGUGAGGGAUUGAGACUUGGUCCGUCCCGGGACUGUGAAGUCUAAUAGCCUUUAUUUGUGUUUAUAUUCAUUCCUGUCUACUAGAACUUGAGUGCCUUUAAUGUUAGAGAUCAUGCUUAGGCUAUAUUCCUGCUCAUGGUAGUUAUAUUCAGUCAUAGUGAUUCUUGUACAUGUUUACCUCAGUCUCUGUUAUUUUUCCCUGAUCAUAUACUGUAACACUUUAAUUUGGGUUGUUUUCCCUUUCUUCAUUAAGAGCUAUGAACUAGAGAGGUUUAUGACUGAGUAAGUCCAAAGGCCUAGUUGUGAGGUAUUGUUCUAUAGCACGUGAGUUAUCCGUGAAACACGUGAGUUGUCCGUGUAGAUCCUUACAUUUAUACUAGGGCAUGCGAGUUGUCUGUGCAGCACAUGAGUUGUCCGUGCAGAUACAGAUAUUUAUACUAUGGCACGUGAGUUGUCCGUGCAGCACGUGAGUUAUCCAUGCAACACGUGAGUUGUCCAUAUAGAUUAUAGCGCUUGGGCUGUAGGAGCCCCUCAUGAGUCUGAACACCCCCAGUGAGCGCAUGUACCUAUUGAGCGUGUGCAUUGAGGGAUGAGAGUUGAGUGCCGAGUUGUUGAGGUUUUGAGUGAUUGUUGCCCUGAGAGGCUGUACUUGCUUUUCAAUUGUUGAUGCACUUAGUUUCUAUCUAUCAUUGUUGUGAAAUUUUUGAAAGUUUCUAUAUCCGGAGUACCUGCACUUUAACUGUAUAAAACUGAUUUGACUUAAACUGCCUGAUUUUAAAGUAUGUCUAUUCUUUGCUGGAAUUAUUGAGAAUGAACUGUACUGUAUAGCUCGUCACUGCUUCUCAGUUCCUUAUUUAGUUCUGUUACUUGCUAAGUUGGUUGUACUCAUGCUACACCCUACACUUCAUGUGCAGAUCUAGGUGUGUUUGAUCACAGAGGUCGUUGAGUUCGGGCGCGAUCGAGUACCUGAGACUACGAGAUANNNNNNNNNNNNNNNNNNNNNNNNNUUCUAUUGAAUUACUGGAGUAUUUGGGAACGUCGGCUUACCUAGUACCAUCUAUAGGCGCCAUCAUGACAUGUUAGGUUUUGGGUCGUGAUAAGUUGGUAUCAGAGCUCUAGGUUACAUAGGUCUCACGAGUCAUGAGCAGGUUUAGUAGAGUCUUGCGAAUCGGUACGGAGACGUAUGUACUUAUCUUCGAGAGGCUGCAAAACCUUUAGGAAAAUUCCACAUUCUUGAAUUCUUGUCGUGCGAAUAUAUUGAUUCUGGUAACUAAACAUAUGUUGUUUCAUUCUCUCACAGAUUGUGAGGACUCAUACUACUAGGCAUGAUGGACAGCCACCAAUACCACCAGCCAGGGUCGCGAGAGGCCGAGGCCGCGGUAGAGGCUGCGGUAGGGGGAUAGGUGCAGCCCGCACAACAACUGGGGCAGUACCUGCAGAUCCACCAGUUGUCCAAGAUCAAGACCAAAUUUCACUUGUUGAUGCACCAGCUCAGGCACCACAUGUGCCUAUUGUGAUUCCAGGCUUCCAGGAGGCCCUAGCUUAGAUUCUGACAGCGUGUACCAGCCUUGCUCAGACGGUCUCUAUCUCGACGGCUGCAACCACUUCUCAGGACGGGGGAGGAACUCAGACUCCCGCUGCUCGCAUACCCGAGCAGGUUGUUCAUGGACUCCAGACAUCGGAGGCACCACCAGCCCAGCCGAUUGCAACUGCUUAGGAUUAUGUGGUUCUUGCUAUGCCUGAGGAUGAUCAGCAUAGGUUGGAGAGGUUUGGGAGACUCCAGCCUCCACCUUUCAGUGGCACAGAGAGAGAGGAUGCCCAGGACUUCUUGGACAGGUGUCAGAGGAUACUCCAUACAACUGGUAUUCUGGAGACUUGUGGGGUCUCAUUUACUACUUUUUAGUUUUUUGGGGCUGCACUCAGAUGGUGGGAGACUUAUAAGAGGCAUAAGCCUAUUGGCGCAUCACCCCUUACUUGGCAGAGGUUCUCCGUGGUCUUUUUGGAGAAGUUCGUGCCUCAGUCCCGUAGAGAGAAGUUGUGCAGACAGUUUGAGCAGUUUUGCCAAGGUGAUAUGUCUGUGAUGCAGUAUGAGAUGCGAUUCUCGGAGUUGGACUGUCAUGCUAUAUGGUUGGUUCCCACAUAUAGGGAGAGGAUCAUGAGGUUUAUAGAUGGUCUCACUUUUCAGCUACGGUUGCUUAUGACCAGAGAGAGGGUGUCUGGUGCGACCUUUGAUGAGGUUGUCGACAUUGCUCGGCAGAUUAAGAUGGUUUGCGGUCAGGAGAGGGUUGAGAGGGAGGCCAAGAGGCCUCUUGGUCAGGGUGGAUUCAGCGGUGCUCCUUCUAGGGGUCAGUUCCAACACGGUAGAGGUCAUCAUUUCAGACAGGCUCAGACAGCUCGACCAUUUCACCGUGGUGCAUCAUCUGGCCAUGGUUCUCACAGUCAUCAGCAAGGCUAGUCAUCAUUCAGUGCACAACCAGUGCAGGGUUCUCAUCAUGCCUUUUCGGCUCAGAUAUCCCCGGGUAGUUCUUUUGGGCAUCACGAGUAGGAGUUUCAUCAGAGGAGGGGUUGUUUCGAGUGCGGAUAUUUUGUUCACAUUAUAAGAGAUUGCCCUAGGCUAUUGGGUGGGACUCCACAGCGGAGUACUCAGCCGAUGGCACUAGCACCAGUUCCUCCACCACUCGCCCAGCUAGCCAGGGGUGGAGCUCAGCCAGCUAGGGGUAGAGCCCAGUCAGCUAGGGGUCGCCCGAGAGGGGGAGGCAGAUCAGGGGGUGGUCAGGCCCGUUUCUAUGUCCUCCCUACUAGACCAGAUGCUAUUGCUUUAGAUGAUGUGAUUACAUGUAUUGUCUCAGUUUGUCACAGAGAUGCCUAUGUAUUAUUUGACCCCGGUUCCACGUAUUCAUAUGUUUCCUUGUAUUUAGCCCAUUUUUUGGAGAUGCCCCGUGAGUCUUUAGUUUCAUCUAUUCAUGUAUCUACUCCCGUAGGCGAUACUAUUGUUGUGGAUUGCAUAUAUCGGUCAUGUGUGGUGACUAUUGGGGGAAUAGAGACCCGAGUGGACAUUUUGCUGCUCAGUAUGGUUGAAUUUGAUGUGAUAUUGGGUAUAGAUUGGUUAUCUCCAUGUCAUGCCGUUCUAGAUUGUCACGCUAAGACCGUGACAUUGGCGAUGCUGAGAUUUCUCAGGGUUGAGUAGAGUGGUUCUAUAGAUUAUGUACCUAGUAGGGUGAUUUCAUAUUUGAAGGCUCAACGUAUGGUUAAGAAAGGUUGCCUAUUUUAUUUGGCUUUUGUGAGGGAUGUUAGUACAGAGACUCCUACCAUUGAUUCUGUUUCGGUGGUACGGGAUUUUCCCAAUGUGUUUCCUAUAAACCUACCGGGCAUGCCGCCUGACAUGGAUAUUGAUUUCGGUAUUGAUCUGGUGUCGGGCACUCAUCCCAUUUCUAUUCCAUCAUAUCAUAUGGCACCGGCGGAGUUGAAGGAGUUGAAGGAACAACUUCAGUAACUCCUUGAUAAGGGAUUUAUUCGGCCUAGUAUAUCACCUUGGGGUGCACCGGUUCUAUUUGUAAAGAAGAAGGAUGGUUCCAUGAGGAUGUGCAUUGAUUACAGGCAGUUGAACUAGGUCAUAGUCAAUAACAAAUAUCCUUUGCCUCGUAUUGAUGAUUUAUUUGACCAACUUCAGGGAGGGAAGGUGUUCUCCAAGAUUUAUUUGAGGUCCGGUUAUCACCAAUUGAAGAUUCGUGGUUCGGAUAUUCUUAAGACAACUUUCAGGACCCUUUAUGGCCAUUUUGAGUUGUUGAUGAUGUCUUUUGGGUUGACCAAUGCCCCAACAGCAUUCAUGCAUUUGACGAAUAGUGUAUUCCAGCCCUAUUUGGACUCACUUGUUAUAGUAUUCAUUGAUGACAUCCUGGUGUACUCUCAUAGCCAGGAGGAGUAUGCUCAGCAUUUGAGAGUUGUAUUGCAGAGAUUGAGGAAGGAGAAGCUUUAUGCAAAGUUUUUCAAGUGUGAGUUUUGGCUCGGUUUAGUAGCAUUCUUGGGGCACGUGGUGUCCAGUGAGGGUAUUCAGGUGGAUCCGAAGAAGAUAGAUGCGGUGCAGAGUUGGCUUAGACUGUCCUCAGUCACGGAGAUUAGGAACUUCUUGGUUUGGCGGGUUAUUACUAUCGCUUUGUGGAGGGAUUUUCAUUUAUUGCAUCGCCCUGGACCAAAUUGACCCAAAAUAUUGCUCCAUUCAGGUGAUCAGAUGAAUGUAAGGAGAGAUUUCAGAAACUCAAGACUGCUUUGACCACAACUCCAGUGUUAGUUAUGCCAUCAGCUUCAGGUUCUUACACCGUGUAUUGUGAUGCCUCGAGGGUAGGUAUUGAAUGUGUUCUAAUGCAGGAGGGUAGGGUGAUUUCCUAUGCCUCGCCCCAUUUGAAGACCCAUGAGAAUAACUAUCUUGUCCAUGAUCUUGAGUUAGCAGCCAUUGUUCACGCCUUGAAGAUUUGGUGUCAUUAUUUGUAUGGGAUUCAUUAUGAGAUCUAUACUGAUUACCGGAGUUUGCAGUAUCUGUUGAAGCAGAAGGAUCAUAACUUACGUCAGCGAAGAUGGUUAGAGUUUCUUAAGUACUACGAUAUCACUAUUUUGUACCAUUCGGGGAAGGCCAAUAUGGUGGCCGAUGCUUUGAGUCAUCGGGCAGAGAGUUUGGGGAGUUUUGCAUAUCUCCCAGCAGCAAAGAGACCCUUGGCAUUGUAUGUUCAGGCUUUAGUGGGCCAACUUGUCAUAUUGGAUAUUUCUGAGCCGAGUCGGGUAUUGACUUGUGUGGUCUCCAGGCCUUCUCUUUAUGAUCGUAUCAGGGAGCGUCAGUAUGAUGACCCCCACCUGAUCGUUCUUCAUGACAGGGUUCAGCAAGGUGAUGCUAGGGAUGUGACCAUUGGUGAUGACGGCGUGUUGAGGAUGCAGGGCCAAAUAUGUGUGCCCAAUAUAGAUUGGCUCAGGGAGUUGAUUCUUGAGGAGGCCCACAGCUCGCGGUAUUCCAUCCAUCCGGGUGUAGCAAAGAUGUACCAAGAUUUGAGGCAGCACUAUUGGUGGAGGCGAAUGAAGAAGGAUAUAGUUAGGUUUGUGGCUCGGUGUCUCAACUGUCAGCAAGUUAAGGAUGAGUAUCUGAGACCGGGUGGCUUGCUUCAGAGGUUAGAGAUCCCAAAGUGGAAGUGGGAGCGGAUGACCAUUGACUUCAUAGUUGGGCUUCCACGGACUUCGAGGAAGUUUGAUGCCAUUUGGGUAAUUAUGGAUCGGCUGACCAAGUCCACGUACUUCAUUCUAGUUGGAACUACUUACACUUCAGAGCGGUUGACUGAGAUUUAUAUAUGAGAGGUUGUUCACCUGCAUGGUAUUCUAGUUUCCAUCAUUUCAGAUAGAGGUACUCAGUUCACAUCACAAUUUUGGAGGGCAGUGCAGCGAAAGUUGGGUACUCAGGUUGAGUUGAGCACAACUUUUCACCCUUAGAUGAACAGGCAGUCCGAGCGCACUAUUUAGAUAUUGAAGGAUAUGUUGCGCGCUUGUGUCAUGGACUUUGGGGGUUCAUGGGACCAGUUCUUUCCACUUGCAGAGUUUGCAUAUAACAACAGUUACCAGUCGAGUAUUCAGAUUGCUCCGUACGAGGCUUUAUAUGGGAGGAGGUGUAGAUCUCUGGUAGGAUGGUUUGAGUAGGGUGAGGCUAGGCUCUUGGGUACAGACUUGGUCCAAGAUGCAUUAGAUAAGGUGAAAUUGAUUCAGGAGCGGCUUCGCACGGCACGGUCUAGGCAAAAGAGCUACGCGGACAGGAACGUCCGUGAUGUGUCUUUUAUGGUUGGGGAGAAGGUUUUGUUGAAGGUAUCACCCAUGAAGGGUGUUAUUAGGUUUGGGAAGAGGGGCAAGUUGAGCCCCCGAUUCAUUGGGCCUUUUGAGGUGCUUCAGAGGAUAGGGGAGGUGGCUUAUAAGCUUACCUUGCCACCCCCAGCUUGUCGAGCGUGCAUCCAGUGUUUCAUGUUUCCAUGCUCUGGAAGUAUGUUGGCGAUCCGUCCCAUGUUUUGGACUUUAGCACGGUUCAGUUGGAGCGUGAUAUGACUUAUGAUGUGGAGCCGAUGGCCAUUUUGGAUCGGCAGGUUAGGAAGAUGAGGUUAAAGGACAUAGCUUCAGUGAAGGUGCAGUGGAAAGGUCAGCCUAUGGAGGAGGCCACCUGGGAGACCGAGUGGGAGAUGCGGAGCAGAUAUCCACACCUAUUUGAGACUCCAGGAAUGUUUCUAGACCCGUUCGAGGAUGAACAUUUGUUUAAGAUGGGGAGGAUGUAACGACCCGGGCGGUCAUUUUGAGAGUUAUAGCCCCAUUUUCCCCCAUUUUUGCUUCCUUUUGUACUUUUCAGCUAUAUUAUGAUAUACCGGGUUAAUUGGUUCAGGUCCGGAGUGGUUUCGUAAUGGAUUGAGACACUUAGUCUCUAAAGUAGAAUCUUAAGUUAAAAAGGUUAACCGUAUGUUGACUUAUGUGUAAUUGAUAUCGGAUUUGAAUUUUGAUGGUUCUGUUAGCUCCGUUAGGUGAUUUUAGACUUAGGAGUGCAUCCGGAAUGUGAUUUGGAGGUUCGUAGUGGAAUUAGGCUUGAAUUGGCAAAAGUUUGAAAUUUGGCGAUUUCGGUCGGCAGUGAAAAAAUUGAUAUCGGGGUCGGAAUGGAUUUCCAGAAGUUGGAGUAGGUUUGUGGUGUCAUUUUUUUACGUGUGUGUAAAAUUUGAGGUCAUUCGGACGUAGUUUGGUAGGUUUCGGCGUCGUUUGCGGAAUUUGGGAAGUUAGAAGUUCUUAGGCUUGAAUCCGAGGGUAAUUUGGUGUUUUGAUAUUGCUUUGAGUGAUUUGAUGAUUUUUCUAAGUUUGUAAAUUAAUAUAUUACUUGUUGGUAUGUUUGGUUGAGGUCCCGAGGGGCUCAGGGUGAGUCCGGGUGGUUAACGGAUUGUUUGAAGUUGGAAAAAUGCAGCUGAAGUUGCUGCUACUUGUAUUUCCGCACCUGCGGAGAGAGAGCCGCAAGUGCGAGGUUACUGGUGCACUUGGUGAGCCGCAGAUGCCGACAUAGAGGACCUGGGAUGGAACCGCAGGUGCGUAAGAUUGGUCUCAUCUGCGAUCCUGCAGAUGCGAGGCGGAGUCGCAGAUACAGAAGUGAGGAGGACUGGCAGUGGCUGUAGGUGUGAGGUCUUUUCGCACUUGUGAGGUCACAGAAGCGGAUAUGGUACGCAGGUGUGGAGAUGGGAACUUAAGUGAUUUUCUGUAGAUACGGAGAUUUGUACGCAAAAGCGGCUCCGCAGGUGCGCAUUUUUGAGCUGCAGGUGCGAAAACCUGGGCAGAACCUAUAGAUAGAAGACUUCACGAAUUUUUGUUCAUUUCCACCAUUUUCAAGUCGGACCUUGGAGCUUCUGGAGUGAUAUUUGAAGGGGAUUCAUGGAUAUUCACUGAGGUAAGUUGCUUGAGCUCUAUUUUCAUUAGCUAUGGUGUUUUCCCGUUAAUUUCCCACCUAAUUAGUAAGAUGUUUGAAGUGAAAUAAGGGGUUAGGGCUUGGGAUUUUGGAAAGAGGAAUUUGAGGGACCAAAUGAUGUCGGAUUUUGAUAAAUUUAGUAUGGGUAGACUUGUGAGUGAAUGAGAUUUCGGGUUUUAUGAAUUUUGUCAGAUUUCGAGAUGUGGGCCUAGGGGCCGGGUUUGAGUGAAUUUUGGGGAUUUGGCCUAUAAAUUGGUAUUUUCCUUAUGGGAUUCAUUCCUUUAGCUUAUAUUGAUCGUAUGUUAUUGCUUGUGGCUAGAUUCGGAUAAUUUGGAGGUCGGUUCGAGAGGAAAGGGCAUUUCAGAGUAGGUGUUCUAUGCUGUUGAGGUAAGUAACAAUUUUAAAUCUGGUCUUGAGGGUAUGAAACCCAGAGUUUGGUAUAAUGUGAAUGUUUGAAGGUGGAACCCAUGCUAGGUGACGGGCAUGUGGGUGUACGUCGUGAGGGAUUGAGACUUGGUCCGUCCCGGGAGACUGUGAAGUCUAAUAUCCUCUAUUUGUGUUUAAAUGCAUUCCUGUCUACUAGAACUUGACUGCCUUUCAUGUUAGAAAUCAUGCUUAGGCUAUAUUCCUUCUCAGGGUAGUUAUAUUCAGUCAUAGUGAUUCUUGUACAUGUUUACCUAGUCUCUGUUAUUUUUCCCUGAUGAUAUACUGUAACACUUUGAUUUGGGUUGUUUUUCCUUUCUUUAUUGAGAGCUAUGAGACUAGAGAGGUUCAUGACUGAGUAAGGCCGAAGGCCUAGUUGUGAGGUAUUGUUCUAUGGUACGUGAGUUGUCCGUACAACACGUGAGUUAUCCGUGCGGAUCCUUAUAUUUAUACUAGGGCACGUGAGUUAUCCAUGUGGAUCCAGAUAUUUAUACUAUGGCACGUGUGUUGUCCGUGCAACACGUGAGUUGUCUAUGAAGAUUAUAGCGCUUGGACUGUAGGAGCCCCUCAUGCGUCUGAACACCCCCAGUGAGCGCAGGUACCUAUUGAGUGUGUGCAUUGAGGGCUGAGAGUUGGGUGCCGAGUUGUUGAGGGUUUGAGUGACUGUUGCCCUGAGAGGUUGUAGUUGCUUUUCAAUUGUUGAUGCACUUAGUUUCUAUCUGUCAUUAUUGUGAAAUUUCUGAAAGUUUCUAUAUCCGGAGUACCUGCACUUUCAAUGUAUAAAACUGAUUUGACUUAAACUGCCGGAUUUGAAAGUAUGUCUAUUGUUUGAUGGAAUUAUUGAAAAUGAAAUGUACUGUAUAGCUCGUCACUAUUUCUCAGUUCCUUAUUUAUUUCUAUUACUUGCUGAGUUGGUUGUACUCAUGCUACACAAUGCACUUCAUGUGCAGAUCCAGGUGUGUUUGAUCACUGAGGUCAUUGAGUUAGGGCGCGAUCGAGUACCGGAGACUACGAGGUAGCUGCCGGCAUCCGUAGGAUCUUAUCUCUCCUUCUAUAUUUCUUUCUGUCUUGUAUUGAUACUUAGACACUGGUUGUAUUAGUUUGGUUAUCUAGAUGCUCAUGACUAUGUGACACCCUGAUGUUUGGGGCUAGUUUCCGCAUUUUGAUUCUAUAUUGAGUUCAACUUUGGUUUUUAUGAAAAAUUUCUGAUAUGAAAAAGUUUGAAACUACCUUUUCUAUUAAAUUACUGGAGUAAUUUGGGAAUGACGGCUUGCCUAGUACCAUCGAUAGGCGCCAUUACGAUAUGUUAGGUUUUGGGCCAUGACAACAUAGCAUCGCAAUUGCAAUGACAGAGUCGCAAAUGUGGACAAAGGACACAUCGCCAAUAUGACUCUUUUCUUGCUAAUGUAAGAACCCCAAUUGACGAGCUCGAAACACACACCUAAAUUAUGCUCGCUAAUCAAAUAUAGUAUAAUAUAAUAUCAUAUACACAAGGAUUGGAUUUAAACAGUGUUCUUAUAGUUUCUAACUUGGUUGCUAUCCAAGAUGAUCAACAAUUGAGAUUAUAAGACGUCUAACUAAAAUUAACUAAGAAGCUAAAGCUAUUGACUAAUGACAAUCGCAACAAAGGUAAGAAAGGAAGUUAUCAACGGGAGAAGAUAUGGAUUGAUAGGAUAUGUCCAAGAUAAUUCUUUGGGAUCUAACUGUAGGUAAUUCACUUCUAAUGUUUUAAGUGAGUCUCUCGAAUUGACUCAAUUAUUAGUUCAAACGUUCAGCAAAAACUCCUCUCUCGAUUAUGUCUUAACCUCACAAGAUGAACCAAUUUAAGAACGUGAAGAUAUGCAAGAAUGCGUAGUGGAUUGGUCUUUAGGAUAACCUCUCUCGAUUAUCCUCCUAACUAGGUUUAAUCAAUGAUUCAACUAGCCUCUUUUGAUUACUAAGAAGAAUUAAUGAACUCAACUAAUAAUAUCAUGCAAUAAUAUCACAAGUUAUGCCUCUCUCGAUUACAUGAACAAGUGAAUAUAGAUGCAACAAUUAAAUCAUCCAAAAUGAUUCAAUACAUAAAACUAGAGUUAUAAUCCACAAACAAUCAUCAAUACACAAAAUUCAUCAAACUCUAAAGAGAACUAUUCCAUAGAUAUGGACAAAUUCAUCACAAAUAAAAUUAAAGUAUAGGAAAACAUAAAUUCAAUCCAAACUAGUGUCUUGAGUGAGGAAGGAAUGAUGAAAUAUUUGUGCUUGAGUUCUUACAACUCCUCCUUAGCCUUCCUUAGGUCGAAUAUGUGUAAAAAGUGCAGAAAAUAAUGUUUUCCCAUUUAUUUAUACCAAGUAGGGUCAGACCCAGACGAAACCACCUUCUCCUAGCCGAAAUUGGCUUUUCACGAUGUAAACAUUGCACAGGCGCGCCGCAUGUGGCGACACGCCAUGUGUGGCAUUAGUGGCUAAUUCUGACAGGCAAUAAUAAUUUUUCUACAGCCGCGUCGCCCCACGUGUCGUGGUAGUGAGGAUUUCUCAGAGUAUAAAUUUUUCUUGCAUUUUGACAUCCAGACUUGGUCCUCGACCCCCGAACACGAUCCCGGCUUAAUCCCUUGGGAUUUUACUUAGACGUCAAAGCUCCAAAUAGCUUAAAUUCAUUCCAUAACAUCUUCAUCACUCAAAAUCACUCCUAAAAGGAAUAAAACACAUAAUAAGUGCAAAACACUAUCAAUUAAAUCUCAAACAUGAAUAAAGUGCAGUAAACUAGAGUGCAAUAAACGACUAAAAUACGUAAUUUUAGCCUACCAUCACCAGUCCCCAUCCCAUACUCGCAAAUAAGAUGAGGUGAUCACAAAAGCGAGGCUUGCAUUUGCGAGCCAGACCUUGUAAAUGUGAGAUCUGCAGUCCAGCACCAGCAAUAGCAGUGCACCAGCUAGUCCAUCAUUAACCAAACUCAUCAGAAACAAGUUAGAAACUCACCUGAGCCCUCAUGCUCCAACCCAAACAUGCACACAAGUGUAAUAACAUCAUAUGAUCUCGCUCGCGUGAUCAAAUUACCAAAUUUUGCAGACAAGUUUCAAAUAAAAAUAUGGAUAUAUCCCAAGUUUUAACAUUAAAAUCCAAAGCCGUUAACUAAGAAGUCAGCUUUCGGUCUAAAAUUCUUUAACUUUCAAAAUUGCUAGUUUUCGGCAAACUGAGUUAAAACAAGAUAGGGACUUCCGAAUUAAAUUUCGGGCAUACGACCAAGUUCCAAAUCAUGGUAUGGACCCACCGGGAUCGUCUAAACAUGGAUCCGGUUCUGUUUACAAAAAAUGUUGACCGUGAUCAAAUCAAGUCAUUUCAAAGAUAGAAAUUCAAAUUAUUCUUAAAUUUUUCACCAAGAAAUUUUCUAGAAAAAAGCUUGGACUGCGCAUGCAAAUUGAGAAAUACUAAAUGGAGAUAUUUGAGGUCUCGAAAUACGAAAAUAAGGACUAAAUCUCAAAAUAACCUAUCAGGUCAUCAUAUUCUCCACCUCUAAAACAAACAUUCGUCCUCGAAUAUACAUAGAAAGGUACCUAGACUGGUAAAAAGGUAUGGGUAUCUACUUCACAUGUCCGACUCGGACUCCCACGUGACUACCUCAAUCGACUGAUCUCUCCACUGACUCUAUCUAAAGGAUAACUCUUAAACCCCAACUUCCGGACCUGUUGGGCUAGAAUAGCCACCGGCUCCUCCUUAUAAGUCCAAUCCUUCUUUUAACGACCUGACUGGUCAUUUUUAGAAUUAGCAUCCCGUUCAGUGGCUUAAGGGCUUGAGCAUCUUCUUAUUAUAUGUUAUGACUUGCGUGUAUGGCCGAGUCCGAAUUUCAGACGAUUCAACAUCAAUUUGGAAGAAGGAUUCUUAUUUUAGAAGCUUAAGCGGUAAGAGUUGACCAGAGUUUGACUUUUGUGUAGACGACUCCGUAAUGGAAUUUAGAUGAUUUCAAUAGCUUCGUAUGGUGAUUUUGGACUUAGGCGUGCAUCCGUAUUUGGAUGGUGGAGGUCCGAAAAGUAAUUUGAAGCAUUUCAGCAAAAAUUGGAAAGUUGAAGUUUUGGAAUAUUGGGAGGUUUGACUGGGAGUUUGACUUUGUUGAUAUCGGGCUUGGAUUCUAUUUCUGAGAGUUGAAUUAUCUUUUUUAUGUCAUUUGGGACUUGCAUGCAAAAUUUGAAGUCAUUACGAGUUGCUUUGAUAUGUUUCAACAUGCGUUUUGGAAGUUGGGAGAUUUGGAAAUUCAUAAGUUCGAUUCGUGGUGUGAUUCGUAGUUUCGAUAUUGUUUGAUGUGGUUUGAGGCCUAGAGUAGGUCUGUGUUAUGUUAUAGGACUUGUUGGUAUGUUCGGAUAAGGUCGCGGGGGGCUCGGGUAUGUUUCGGAUUAGCUACGGGCCAUUUCUCCAUGUUGUUGGACUGUUGUUUUGCUGGUAUUUGGUGUUCUUCAUCGCAUUCGCGAUGAAACAACGGAGUUCGCGUAGUGUAAUUUGGUGGAAGGUAGUAUUGAUAUUUGUGUUCGUGAAUAGGAGCUCGCGAUCACGUAGCUUGGAAGAUUUUUUCCUUCGCGUUUGCUCAGUAGCUCCUUUGAGGGUGUUUCACUCGAGAAGGUCAUUUUUGAGUAUCGAUCUAGCUCCUUUGAGGUAAGUAUCUUGUCUAACUUUAUAUGAGGGAACUACCCAUUAGAAUUUGAGUCAUAUGUGCUAAUUGUGUCAUGUGAAGGCCGUGUACACGAGGGGACAAGUACGUACUCGGGCUUAAUUGUGGGAAUUGGACUGUUUAGGGUUAGGUUCUUAUGUUCAUUAGAUGUGAAGUUGUUUUGUCAUGUUAAAUCCUCCCUUUACUAAAUUCACCCUUACGAGUCUUAUUUGGGAUUAAUUGAUUUAUGUUCUACCCUGAUUUCCAAUUAAACUUUUAUGUGCCUUAACUAAAGUUGUUGCCUCUUUUAUUGCCAUGCUAUCUCUUCCGUAAUUGCAUAACCUUAAUUGAAGUUAUUAUUAUUUCUUCUGUAAUUGCUUAACCUUAAUUGAAGUUAUUAUUAUUUCUUACGUAAUUGCUUAACCUUAGUUGAAGUUAUUAUUUUUUCUUUCGUAAUUAUUUAAUCUUAAUUGAAGUUAUUAUUAUUUCUUCUGUAAUUGCUUAACCUUAAUUAAAGCUAUUAUUAUCUCUUCCGUAAUUGCUUAACCUUAAUUGAAGUUUUUCUUAUCUCUUCUGUAAUUGCUUAGCCUUAAUUGAUGUUUUGUUAUCCCUUUUAUCAUUGACGUAUUCUUAUUUGGGGUCAUUGAUUCAUGCUCUCUCUUAUCGUCAAAUUGAACUUUUGUGGAAUCGUUGAUACACAUUAUCUCUCCCUUGUUGAUCUAUUAUUAUUGAGACCAUUAUUCCUUGUUGUGUCUUUCUUUGUGAGCUCGUUCUUCCGUUUCUUUGUGUUUUGAAGUUCUUGUGUUGAUUUACUUAUCGUAUUCUCGAGUUAUUGUUAUUGUUGCUGUUGUACUCAGUGUUGUUGAUUUGAGGGCUAUGCAUGGUUGUGGUAUUGAAACUAUUUUGAGGAAAUGUUGUGCAUAUGUGCACAUGUUGUGAAGGUCAUUUUAUUGCGUUUUUAUGUUUUGGCACACGUGGUAUUGUUGAGAGGAUUGUCGGGGUGUUUGCACGUGAGUUAUCAGUGCUGUUGUUACUAUUGAUAUUUGCACAUGCGGUGUGACAAGGCAGGAUAUAUAUGUGAAUUUGCGCAUGUGGCGAGACAAGGUGUGAUAUUAUUAUGCGCGUGCGACAAGACAAGGCGGGUAUUUACUUUUUAUUAUGCAUGUGGUGAGAAAAAGUGGGUUAUGUUGGGGAAUGAUUUGUGAUGACUUGUGAUGACCUAUGGGCAUUGUGAUUGUUAAUAUUUAUGUAGUGGUGUGCCUACCUUGUGUGAGUUAUACUGUGUACAUUUUGUGGUGAUCGUUUCUUAUGUGUUAUUCAUUGCCUUUACUCUCACUUGUUGACUUGAAUUGUGAUAGGACACUUGCACAAGCAUACACGUAAUUCAAUCACCCAUAUCAGUUUAAAAAGAUGAAUCGUGAUGUUAUUGACCAUUUACAUGUACUCUCGUGUACUUUCCUUCUGUGUGAGAGUUAUCUUGUUGGCACGUGAGUUGUCCGUGCAGUCAUGAGUCAUUGUUAUUAUUGGCACGUGAGUGGUCCGUGUGGAUAUUGGAUAUUGUCACUCUCUUGGCACAUGAGUCGCCCGUGCAGUUAUAAAUUGUAACGUGGGCACAAGAUGCCAAGUGAUUAGUGUUUAUGAAUUGGGACCCGUAAUUUGUAAGAGGUUUGGUGCCUCGUGGAAGUUCUUGAAUAAGUCUAGUAUAAAACAGUGGUUCUUAAUGAGUUGUUACUUGUUUUUCUUUAUUUGGUUUCACCAGUUUUAGACUGUGUUCAUCUUACUCUACAACAUUGUUACCUGUUUGCUUCUUGUUGCUAAUUGUUGUUUCUAGUAUUUCAUUGCGAGUAUUAUUUUGUCUUCCUUACCAUGCUUAGCUUUAUAUUAACAUUGUUUCCCUGAUAGUUCACCUUCAUACUUGUUCAGGUUAUUUAGUCUAGUAGGUGUCUUGAUUGUCCCUCGUCACUACUCUACCGAGGUUAGUCUUGAUACUUACUGGGUACCGCUAUGGUGUACUCAUGCUACGCUUUCUGCACAUUUUUAUGCAGAUCCGUGUAUUUCGGAGUCGGUUGAUCAAUAGCUUGCUGUUCGGGUUUUGCUGUGGAGACUCAAGGUAAAUCUGCCGUCACAUUCGCAGGCCUUAGAAUCACCCUCUGAUAUUGUACAUAUUGAUGGUAGGCUAUAAUCUCGUGUUAUAGUCGCUUAUUGCACUCUAAUUCACUGCACUUUACUUGUGUUGAGCUUUAAUUGCUAGUGUUUUGCACUUAUUAUGUGUUUUAUGCCUUGUAGGAGUAAUUUCGAGUUAUGUAGAUGUUGUUGAACUAAUUCAAGUUAUUUGGAGCUUUGAAGUCUGAGUAAAAGCCCAAGGAAUUAAGCCAGGAUCGUCUUCGGGGGUCGAGGAUCACUUCUGGAUGUCAAAAAUCAAGGAAAAUAUAACAGCUAAAGAAAUGCACUAGUGCGACGCAACAGUGUAAUUUUGUGUCAGGAAUUGACGAAGUUCAAAAGCUGGGUUUCUGUGAUCUAACAAGAAAAAGCACGAAUUCUACGCAUAGGGCGACGCAUAAAAAGCAAUAAGUUUGCAAGCUUUCCUAUUUCAGCUAGGAAAGGGUGAUUUCGUUUGGGCCCGACCCUACUUGUUAUAAAUACGUAGAAAAACGGUAUUUUCUGGACUUUUGACAUACUUUAGACCUAAGGAAGCUAAGGAGGAGUUGGAGGAGCAAAAGCACAAGGAUUUCAUCAUUCCUUCCUCACUCAAGACUCGAGUUUGGAUCGAAAUUAUGUUUUAUACCUUGUAAGAGUGAUUUCGAGUUAUGUAGAUGUUGUGGAACUAAUUCGAGCUAUUUGGAGCUUUGAAAUCUGAGUAAAAGCCCAAGGGAUUAAGCUGAGAUUGCGUUCGGGGCCGAGGAUCAAUUCUGGACUACAAAAAUCAAGAAAGAAGAAAUAACUAAAGAAAUGCACUAGUGUGACACACUAGGCAACGCACUAUGCGACACAUCAGUGUAAUUUUGUGUCAUGAAUUGAUGAAGUUCAGAGGCUGGGUUUCUGUGGUCUGACAAGAAAAAGCACUAAUGCUACACACCCUGCUACGCAUAGUGCGGCGCAUGAAAAGCAAUAAGUUUGCACGUUUUCCUAUUUCGGCUAGGAAAUGGUGAUUAUUUUUGGCCCUAACCCUACUUGGUAUAAAUACAUGGAACAAAAAUUUGUAUUUUCUGGACUUUUGACACACUUUAGACCUAAGGAAGCUAAGGAGGAGUUGGAGGAGCAAAAACACAAGGAUUUCAACAUUCCUUCCUCACUCAAAACCCGAGUUUGGAUCAAAUUUAUGUUUUACAAUACUUUAAUUAUAUUUGUGAUGAAUUGCUCCAUAUCUACGGAGUAUUUCUCUUUAGGGUUUUAUGGAUUUGGUGUAUUGAUGAUUGUUUAUGGAUUAUAACUCUAGUUUUAUGUAUUGAAGCGUUUUUGGAUGAUUUAAUUGGUGCAUCUAUAUUCACUAGUUCAUGUAAUCGAGAGAGGCAUAACUGGUGAUAUCUUUGCAUUAUAUUGUUGGUUGAGUUCAUUAAUUCUUCUUAGUAAUCGAAAGAGGCUUGUUGAAUCAUUAAUUAAACCUAGUUAGGAGGAUAAUUCACUACUAAAAAAUAAUUUUGUUUGGAACGAUUAUUGUGAAACGAUUUUAUAAUAAACGUUCCAAUAAUAUAAUAACUGUCACCAUAAGUAAAUAUAUGAAGUAUGAAGACGGUUUGUAAAGGCGAUAUGAUAGAGUUACCUGUGGGAACGGUUUGAUAACAUAAAAGUAUAUUGGAACGGUUUACUUUUCCCUCCUACAUAUUUAUUAAAAACAAAAACAAAAUAAAUGACCCCAUUAAUAUUUUAAUAACUCUUUCAUAUUUUAAAUUAAAACAUUAUUAUGAAAUGUUCAGUCACUCUCUCUAACUCUCAAAACCUGGAAUUAGACAUCGUCUCUCUCAGCCUCAACCCAGAACACAUCGACCUCACCAUCGACCAUCUCUCUCAGCCAGAUCCGGCGAAGGAAGGCAACUACCGAUGAAUGACGACCAAUUUCGGCUAACAUACAAGCAAUCUCCGAGGUAGGCUAUCGAUUUUUCCCCUGUUUGAUGUUUGUAUAACUAUUCGAUUUUCGCUUUCUUUUUCCCCUUAUGCUUUCUUUAUUUAUCUGGUAAUAGUUUUGAUAAACCCAUUAUUUUACUUCUUCUUUGUUUGUAUUACAUGAUACAUUUUGUGAUUUCUAGUUUGCACAAUUGGGGGAUUUAUUUAUUAGGUUUUGAUUUUCUGUUUGAAACCAUGAGAUUUUCUUUAUUCGAUGUUUGCUAUCGAUGUUCGAUGUUUGAUUUUCGUUGUUCGCUAUCUUGGUUAUUCAGAAAAACCGUUUCGUUGCUCCUUUUUUCUUUCUCUGGUAAUAUUUUUGAUAAACACAUUCUUUUACUUCUGUCCGAUUAUGCUUGUGCAGCUUUCACUUAAAAUUGUGAGAUUCGUUCAUGUUUGUACUUUAGUCUAACGGGUAACUAUUUGCCUUUACGUCUAUUAGACAUUGGGGUUAUUCUUCUACAAAUUGCUUGCCUUUCUAAAUUUUCUUGUUUGGUAAAAAUGAUGCUAUCUAAUCCUUAAAAUCCAUCUAAUAAACUUUCGGAAGUAGUCGUCAAUCAUAUUCUCAUAGUUGUAAUUCAUAACUUAGUGCAAAGAACGAAAAGCUAUAAGCAUUCUGUGCAAGUUGUAAACUGUUGAGGUCUUUUCUUUAUAAUUACGACCUAGGAAAUUAAUUUACCCAUUUCCAAUUACAUAUUUUGUCCAAUUUUACGAUGUUAUUUGGUCACAAUAUGUCUCACAAUAGUAGAACUUUCCUAGAACAGUGAAUAUCCAAACCUCUUUCUAAGCAAAGGCAGAAAAGACGGCCUAAUUCUAGUCCUGUCAACUUCAUUAUAAAAUGUAAAGGUACAAGACUCAAGUCCUUAAACUAUUAUAUGUACAGUAAACUUUUAAGCAAAUGAAAGGUGCUAUGGAUAGAAGACAUGGAAACACCUAAUACGAUGAACUUAUAAGUUGGUAUGUACAAUCCAAUUGAAAUCAGAGCUGCGGCAUAUAUCUGUAGCUAAUGUUUUCAAAUUUAAACAAGGUUGAAUCCAUGGAAGAACUGUUUCUGUUGAGACGAGUUUAUAUGGUCAGUGAGGAUAGAUAUAGCAAACUUCAACUUGCUUGUAAUUGAGGCAUAAUAGUAGUUGUUGUAGGAGUUCUUAAUCCUCAGUUGGUAAAUUUUAGCCAAAACACUUGAGCCCUUAGAUAGUGAAAACGAAUCAUGUGCGAUUAUAUUAAUUUUGCUUCCAUGCCUUCCAACAAAAGAAGGUUGUUCUCCAAAGUUUAACAGUUUGGUUUAAAUGGCUGGAAAAUGGAGAAAACAGCAGAUUAAUAAUAUCAAGGGAAUGUGAUACUUAUUAUGAAGAACUGGGAAGUUGACUCAUAUUGCAGCACCAAUGGUGGCAGUUUCUGUAUUGCAGUAUCUAUUGCAAGUGGUAUCAGUGUACUUAGUGACUAAGAACUUUGUUUCAAACUUAGAUUUACAUGAGAAAAAUGGUUAAAAAACUAAUAUUGUGCACCUGUUUCUAUAGGUUCUGCGUCCUUAGAGACAUGGUUCUGAUCACUACAAAAAAAAAUUAGAAUCAACUAUGAACGUCGUCGCUAAUCCGUCGUUAAAACACUCGUAGCUAGCAGAAUUUCUUACUAAUCCGUUGCUAAUCCAUCGCUAAAUGAGACUAGCGAUGGAUUUUUCUGUUUAGCUACAGAAUUUGUCCGUCGCUAAAACCUGAUUUUUUUAGUAGUAGAUAUUUAGGAAUUUGCCGAGCACUUGUUUUAGCUGCCUUCUCAUGCCUUCAAAUGCCCUAAUCUUCCUCUUUGAAGCCAUAUAUGUUCCAUCUAGAUGAUAACACAACCUCAAUAUUUCUAUGGUAACAAGAACCUUUCUUAAUUGUAGAGAAAAGAAGACAUGCUAGCACAAAAGAAGAUACCAGAUGGGCAGAAAGAAGAAAUGUCACAGGUUCUGUGCCAUAACCAUAGGCAACGUCACUAGAAGAAGACUAUGAUGAUUUGAUAUCUUUAUACUAAAUUAUAUAUUAGAACUGGAAUUUGUGAAUUUGUAAUCAUAAGGGUUAUUAGACGUGCAUGAGUGAUAGUAUAUGGUAUGGUAUGUAUAUCGUUGUCUUAAAGUAUAUAUUCAGAUCCUGCUUGCUCUCUCUCUCUCUCUCUCACACACACACACACACACACACACACACACACACACUCACACACACACACACACACACACACACACACACACUCACACUCAUUGGAUAGGCAUGCAUUAGGCAAUAAGCUGGUUCCCUUUCUAUGUUAAAUGCUUAAUUCUGGCAAAUUUGUAGAAGAAACCAAAUAGGUAGAAAACUAGAACUAGAAGUAGUAACUCAUACAACUUAGAGUCGCUAGUUUAAUGCAGCUCAAUUGACUUUCCUGCAUCUUCAUACCUGCUGUUUAGAUUAGAUAUACCAGAUGAAUAUAGGUAAUACUUUUUACUGGCUUAGACAUAAAACAGGAUACUGACAGUUUGCUGGGAAAAGAGAUUAAGGAAUCAUAUUUAGUUCGCCAUACAUAUUAUUUUGCUAUGCUUUGUACCUACGAUAAUAUCAUAUUAAUUUGGAACCUAAAGAAUAAGCCCCUAUGUUUGCCCAGCAAAAAGUAGGAUUGCCACUUUAUGGACAAGGCUUUCUGAACUUGUAGGUUAUUUGUUGAUCAUUGAACCCAGAGAUUUGUAGUUCUAAGAAUACAGCUUCUAGUAGAGUGUAAAAAAGAAAUGAACUUAACUACAUCUGUACAUCAUCUUUCAGAUGACACAAGACAUAUCAAAUUGUGCUUAAAAGCAAAGAAAAGAAACUAACUUAAAUUGUAUCUGUUCCUACCAUUUUUCUCUUUCUUUGGCUUGUAUUUAAGGUACAAUCCUUUAAAAAACGUUUUUAACAUUAUAAGUUGAACCUUAUUCUUGAUUCAACAUCAUGUGCAUAAUGAAUAUAAACGUGGGAUUAGCAACUGGAACUUCAAUCUUGAAGAUUUGAAGGCACAAGCUUGCCUGGUAUUUGAAUCUAUAUUUAAUUGCGCAUACACCAAUAAUAUCUUAAUACGUGUGCUUUAGCUUUACUUUUCUGAUGAGAAAUGCGUGUUAUUCGAAGAGAGCAUAAUGGUGUUUGGUUUCUCAAACACAAGUUAGUCAUUGUAUUUUAAAUGUUAAUUUUUCACCUACGGAACUUGCUAUGGGACGAUUUCUCAUCGAUAUUACCCAUUGUGGAUUUUUCUUUUCUAAAAGCAAGAGAAAUGAACUCUAGUUUGCAAACAAUACCUUUUUCUUUUUUGCUUUUAGAUUCCAGAUGAGGAAAUUAUUGGUGAGAAUGACCAAGGUGGGAGUACAAAUGCACUCCCAGGGCUUGACAACCAAGGAAAACGGCUUCAAUGUCAAUUCUCCUUUGGAAGUCAAAAUUCAGAUGCUACAGGAUUCCAUGUGAACUUUAAACUUUAUGUAGUAGCCUAAUACCAUGCGAUGUUUCCUCUAGUUCUUCUUGGCCAUGGCUGUUGUUUUUCUUCUUUCUCUGCUUCAUGAUGAGCUACAAACUCGGACUUCUCACUUAUUUUUGUAACGAAGAUCAUGAAUCUGUUCACCAGUAGGCCCCUUCACCUAAAAACUCACCAUCUUAGCAACAUCAAUACAAUAAUCCAUUACAAAUAACUGUAAUGGAUAAAGUAGAAAAUGUAUGACUUGACUAUUUAAGAUAUCAUCAUCAUGAAAUCUGCAACUCAAAACAUGUUUGAAUAUGCACCCUCAUAGACUCUUUUCGAUGAUUGUUUUCACUCUUUUAGAACCGGAUGGAUUGACAAUAACAUCAUCCAAACCAGCUGUUCGUGCACCAGCAUCAAGAGCAUCAGGUGAAUUAUUUUGUGCACCUGUUUCUAUAGGUUUUGCGUCCUUAGAGACCUAGUUCUGAUAUUUAGGAAUUUUCCGAGCACUUGUGUUAGCUGACUUCUCAUUCUUAUCUUCUUUAGUCCCAUCAGAAACACCAAGGAAUCGAGAUGCUACUGUUGAACUUUGUCCAGAUUUAUCAUGAACCACCUGCUGAAGUUGCCGAGAUUCUUCAUUCACAUCUUUACCAUAUGUUUUAUCCAGAACAUGUUGCUGCACCUCGACUGUUUUGAUUACUGAAUUAGCUCAAUCAUCAAUUACACCCAAAUCUGAACACACAACCUUGUGCACCCCAGCUCUCUUCUCCUGCACGCAUGAAACUAUCUGCAUAUUUGACUGCCCAAUCACUUGUUGCUGCACCUCGACUGCUUUGGUGCGCACUUAAUUGUCAUUCAAUUAUCUUAAAAAUAUUGUUCAAUUAUUUCUAAUUGUAUUUUGCAGGUGCAUCGAUUGUGGAUGAAAGCAGUGACGAAGACCUUACUUGAGUGUUGUUGAUCGUUGUUAGACUUUCUAUUGUCAUGUUCAAGGAUAUUUUAGUUUAGAACUUUAUUUUUUUAUGCAAACUCAUCUAUUUUAACUUUUGAAUUGUUGAUCAAACAAUGUAUUCAUAUUUUGUUUUUGUUUAUGGAUAAUGUUAGUUGGGUAUUUUAAUUUUAUUUUGUGGUUUAUAUAGGUUAUGGUGUAUAAAAUUUCAUUGCGUAGGGAAAUAUUCCUCCUUUUGCUUCCAUAAAUAUCAAAAAUUACAAUUGUGAAUUGUUG
rnacentral:lncRNA from 1 species